rnacentral:lncRNA from 1 species
GAAACGAUUUCGACGUGUUCUUGAGCUUUAGAGGUGUAGAUACUCGAAACGGCUUUGUCGACCACCUCUAUUGCGGCCUCGUCGGUGCUAGAAUCCGUGUCUUCAUGGACGACAAUGAACUCCGCUUGGGCGAGGGAUUGAGCGAAGAGCUUAGGCAAGCCAUUAGUAACAGCAAUAUUUUGAUCCCUAUUAUCUCUGAGAAUUAUGCCUCUAGCAAAUGGUGCCUUCAAGAAUUGGUUUGCAUGAUGGAGUGCCGAAAACAAUGGGGACACAAAGUGUUUCCCAUAUUCUACAAGGUGGAACCCGCAGGGUUGCGAUCUGAAAUGGGUCGUUUUAGAGAGGCAUUUCGUAAUUACAAGCGGAGGUGUUUUGACCCGGAGGUUGUGGCCAAAUGGAAGGAAGCGCUUGCAGAAGUCAGUUCCUUGAGUGGAUGGGAAUCAGAGAAAUUUGAUAAUGGGUAUCUUCAUUCUCUAACCAACACCUUGUUUACUUUGAUGAUAUCAACACCAUACAAUCUUCUUCUUCUUUUUUUAUAUGGAUCCGAUUUAUUCGUUUUGAUGAUGAAAGUUUUUGGCUGUAAUAUUUUACCUUCCUUUAUGCAAGGAUUAUCUAACUUAUAUUUUUGCUUAUUUCUACCUACAUAAAGGCGGUAUUACUGUGUUUACAUUUACGAAUAAGAUUUGGAUAACGACUGACGCCUCUAAAAGAACCAAAAAUAAAUAAAUAAAAAGAAGAAGGAGGAGAAAAACAGACUGCUUUUAAAGCUUCAUUAGUCUCAAUCUUUUUUCUAAUAGAAUACGUCAGGGUAAUCUUAAAAAGAAGUUAUGAGUGCAUCUUCUGGAGCAAUCACGGGAUUGCUUUACCCCCUUUCAUCUUAGCAAAUAUAAUAAGAAUGGAAGUGGGGAAAAGAUUUGAAAGUUUUCCAAAUUAUCCCCAAGUUCUAUUGUUUGCGCUAUCGUUAGAUAAUACUUAUGUCAUUGAACUCGUUUUCAUUUGACAGGAGAGAAGGAGAAUUGAUAAAAUCGGUUGUGCAAAAAGUUUUGAAAGAGUUGAAGGAGUUGGUUGCUGAUGAUUAUUUGGUUGGAAUUGACAGUCCUGUGGAGAAGGUUAUGCGAUUGGUAAACAAGAAUGCUAGUGCUACCUCGUGUGUGGGAAUUUAUGGAAUUACGGGCAUUGGUAAGACUACUCUUGCUAAAGUCAUAUACAAUAAGCUGUCUGAUCUAUUUGUGCAUCGUAGCUUCAUUGCAAACAUCAGGGUAUCAUGCGAACGUCAUGGUAUUAAUUACUUACAAAAUCAAUUAAUCUUUGAUAUGCGGAAAAGAGAAAUUCAAUUUUGCAAUAGCGACGAAAGACUCAAGUACAUCUCGUCUAGGUUUAAAGAUGAGAAAGCCCUCAUUAUUCUUGAUGACGUGGAUACCACUAGUCAGUUAGAGGCUUUGGCUGGAAAUCCUUACUGGUUUGGCUCAGGAAGUAGGAUCUUUGUUACCACUAAAAAUGAGAGUGUUCUUGAUAGAGUGAACAUCAAGUACAAGCAUGAGCAAAUGGAUGAGGAGCAAUCUCUUGUCCUAUUUUCUAGACAUGCAUUUCGAAGAGACCAUCCUCCAUAUGAAUUUUUAGCUCUCUCUCGUCUUGUGGUAUCUGCAACGGAAGGGAUUCCCUUGGCUGUCAAGUUUGUAGGUUCAUUUUUGUGUGAAAAACCAUCACGAAUAUGGAGAGAAAUACUACGAAAGAUGCAAAAUAUACCUCAUAUGGCUGUGCAAGAAAAGUUCAGGAUAAUUUGUGAAGAAAUGGGGGAGGAUCGAAAAAAGGCGGAAGAUGCAUCUUCCGCUGCUACGCCUUGUCCUUCCAUCUUGCCAAGUGAAAACGAUUACGAAGUGUUCUUGAGUUUUAGAGGUGUAGAUACUCGAAGAGGCUUCAGCGACUACCUCUACUGCAGGCUCGUCGAUGUUGGAAUCCGUGUCUUCAGGGACGACGAUGAGCUCCGCAGGGGCGAGAGUUUGAGCGAAGAUCUUAUGCGAGUCAUCAAGAACAGCAAUAUUUUGAUCCCAAUUAUCUCUGUGAAUUAUGCUUCUAGCAAAUGGUGCCUUGAUGAACUUGUUGAAAUGAUGAAGUGCAAGAAUUGCUCAGGGCACAUAGUGUUACCUAUAUUCUACGAUGUGGAACCUGCGGAUGUGCGAGAUCAAAAGGGUCAAUUUGGAGAGGCAUUUCAUUAUUCCGGUAGGCGUUUCAAUCAAAAGUCUACCGCAGAAUGGAAGCAAGCGCUGAUAGAAGUCAGUUCCUUACAAGGAUGGCAAUUUGCUAAUGGGUAAUUCAUUCUUUAACCAGCACUUUAUUUGCUUUGACGAUGUCAACACCAGUCAAAAUGAUAAUUUUUUUAUCGAUCUGAUUCAUUCGUUUUAAGAAUGAAACUCCUUUACUAUAAAAUUUUGCCUUCCUUUAUGCAAGGAUUCUCUAACUUAUAUUUUGCUUAUUUCCGCCUACAUAAAAGCAGCGUAACUGUGUUUAUCCCUACGAAUAAGAUUUGGAUUAUUAUGAUGACUUACGCCUCUGAAAGAGCCCAAAAGAAGAAGAAGAAGAGAAGACUGUCUUAGUGGUUUAGUAAAUUAUUUUCCGGUGUAGUUCUUCCAUCUCGUUUUUUCUUUCUUACGCCGAGGAAACACAUCAUUAUUCAACUUCCUGUCAAACUCCACGUUAGAUUAAUCAACAUCAUAGAACAUAGAUACUACUCAAAAGGAAAACUAGAAAAAAAAAUGCUUCCUAUUAUGAUCCAUAUCCUUAACGGACCACAGAUUUUGAAAUUUAAUUCAGAUCCUUAAUAUGUGCAAAACUUAAAGCUUCACUAGCCUCAAAUCUUUUUCUAAUUCAAUACAUUUAGAGUAACCUUGAAAGAAUUUAUGGGUGCAUCAUGUGGGGCAACCAUAUUUACUGGUCGGUGGGGAAGAAAAACAUACACUACCAACUGGGGGUGCAAGGCAUGUGGGUACUGGUACGUUAAAAUAAGGAACGCAGCCUGGCAGGGCUCCUUAUUUGAGAACUACCGCAGUUGGCCCUUGCAGGUGGGAAACCACCCGGGUAGAGGUGAGGCAAAAGGAAGAGACAUCAACUAUCUUCCUUGAGCCAAGGAUCCAAUACACGCCCACAGAGCAGCCACGGGAUUGCUUUACCCGCUUUUAUCUUAGAGAUAAGAUAAGAAAUGGAGGUGGGAAAAAGAUUUAAAGGUUUUCCAAAUUAUCCCCAAAUUCUAUUGUUUGUGCUAUCAUUAGAAAAAAGCCAUAUCAUUUGAACUCAUUUUGUUUGACAGGCCUGCGGGACAAUUGAUGGAAUCACUUGUGCAAAAAGUUUUGGACGAGUUGAAGAAAGCAGUGGACUUGGAUGAUCUUGAGAAUUUGGUCGGAAUUGAUAGUCAUGUGGAGGAGGUUAUGAAAUUAAUAAAUAAGUGUUCUGGAGCUACCCUAUGUGUGGGAAUUUACGGAAUAGGGGGUAUCGGUAAGACGACUCUUGUUAAUGUCAUCUACAACAAGCUAUUAAAUCAAUUUGAGCAUUGUAGCUUCAUUGCUGACAUUAGGGAAUCAUGCAAUCGCAAUGGUAUUAGUUACUUGCAAAAUCAAUUAAUCAGUGAUAUAUUGCGAAGAAAUAUUCGAUUGCAUAACAAGGAUCACGGAAUCCGCAUCAUCUCAUCCAAGCUUAAAGAUAUGAAAGUCCUCAUUAUUCUAGAUGAUUUGGAAACCACCGAUCAGUUAGCGGCUUUGGCUGGAAAUCUUGAAUGGUUUGGCUCAGGAAGUAGGAUCUUUGUUAUCACUAGAAAUGAGAGGGUUCUUGAUAGGGCCAGAGUGGACAUCAAGUACGAGCAUGAGGAAAUGGGUAUGGAACAAGCUCUGAUCCUAUUUUCUAGACAUGCAUUUCGAAGUGACUUUCCUCCUAGUGAGUUUUCAAUUCUCACUCAUAUAGUGGUAUCUACAAUAGGAGGGCUUCCCUUAGUUCUCAAGGUUGUAGGUUCAUUUUUGUGUGGAAAACCAGCAGUGCUAUGGGAAAAAACAAUAGUUAACAUGCGAAAAAUACCGCAUGAGGAAGUGGCAAGAAAGUUGAUGGUAAGUUAUGAAGAAUUGGAGGAGGAUCAAAGACAAAUGUUCCUGGAUAUAGCUUGUUUUUUAAUUGGGAGUGAUGUAAGAGUUGCCUACUACAUGUGGGAUGCUUGGGGCUUUUUUGCGAGGCAAGGAAUUGAAGUACUGAGAUCUUUGUUAUUCAUAAGUAUUGGAGAUAAUCACGAGUUCAGAAUGCAUGACCAAAUGAGAGAUCUUGCCAGGGAAAGUGUGCUUGCAGAAUACUGCUGCAAACCUCAUAAACGUAGUAGAUUGUGGCAUUACGAGGAAGCCUUGGAAGUGCUACAGAGCAAAAGGGUAACUUUAUAUUUUUCUUCUGCUCCCGUAGUAGUCUAUGUUCUCUUGUUUUAAAUGACGUUAAUGUGCUGGUAUUAUUUUAUUGACGUGAUUAGGAAAGCAGGUUGCUCCUUCUUAGUUUGUGCUGCAGUUUUCCGCCUUUGUAGUUUAGAAAGUCAUGGCCAUUGACAGAGAAUCCAUUCACGAACAUAAUGUAGAAAACUGACCGGCAAAUACUUAAAUGCAGACUUUUCCAUUUUCUAUAUUGAGAGAGACAAAAUAACUGACCCAGGUAAGCCAUAAUUAAAAAGUACGCUUUCCGGUGAAGCCUAAUUUAACUGAUGUGCGUCUUAUCUUGUUUGGUUGUCAUCUGACAUUUAUGAGCUUAUUAACUGUAUCCAAAAUUAUCAUCCUCAUUAAUUUUGAAAUUUAGUUAAUGCAACUGAAAUAGAAUUAUCAGUCGCCUUCAUUGAUUUAGUAAGUUAUACACACCAGUUGUUUUGUUAUAUUCGUAAAUCACUUGUUCAUGCUCAUUUAUAUAUCAUCUUAAAGACUUUGAUAGGAAUAUUCAGGGAAGAGAAAAGGGGGAAAAUCCCUAAAACGUACAAACUCCUCUUCCUUCAUGUGAUAUUACAGACGUGUGCGCUCCUUUUUUUUUUUUUUUUUUCCACUAGUCAGAGAGCACACAGAUUGUUUGCGAAGACAAAAGGUUAAGAGAAUAAGUAACGAAAAAAUUACGUUUGUAGAUUUGAUUUAUUUUGGAAUGACCGUUUUCAAUCGGAAAUUGAAAAUUUUUAAAUUUAAUUUUUGAAAGUGUCGGUGAAAUUGAAGAACCACCUCGUAAUUAUCUCGAUAACUUUUAGUUAGGGUUUUAUCUAUUGUUUAAUGAUGGCAUCAAUAAAUUGCAUGGACUUUUAUGGAAGAUUUUAGGUAUGAGUUUGAAACUGAAAAUUGAUAUCGAGUUUACUGUAUAUUAAGUAGAAAUAAUUGAUAUUAUUUCACUGAGUUGGUAAGAUGCAACAUUUGUGAUCCUUGGUUUUGUACUUGUAGGGAACUGGAAGGAUUCAAGCCAUUUGUCUUGAGCAAGGCAACUCUAAUUAUAUAAUUGAUCAAGCGAGCCGCACAUUUACGGAUGAACCAUUUAGAAACUUAUCGAACUUGAGGUUUCUUCACAUGAAUGCUGUGAAUCUUGUCGGAGAUUUUAGUAAAUUAUUUUCUCAGUUAAGAUGGCUCAAAUGGGGGAAUUGUCCCUCAAAUUUUGAAGCAAGCAACUUUCAUGCGGGGGAAUUAGUCAUACUCGAUUUGUCAGGAAGCGCAAUUUCAGAUGUCUGGCAAGGAUGGCAUUCAAUGAUGGUAUGAUAUAAAAAUAUAAUCUUUUGCGUUUUUUUUUUUUUUUAGUGGGAACAACUCAUUGCUGACCCCAUGAUAUAUUCUUUCUUGCAGAAGGCAGAAAAGCUGAAAGUUCUCAAUCUCACAAGUUGCCAUUCCUUAAAAGGGACUUCUUACCUCUCAGCUUUUAAAAGAUUGGAGAUUUUGAUCCUCAGAGAUUGUAGCGCAUUGGAGCAAAUUGAUAAUUGUAUUGGAGACAUGGAGAACCUCAUUUCCCUGGACUUAAGUGGAUGUUCUCUUCUUGAGAGGCUCCCGCUUCAAAUGGCUAAAUUAGAACAGUUGAAGGAGCUUCUUCUAGAUGAAACUGCAAUACAAGAAAUUCCUUCCUUCAUCAGUUCUCUAAAAAAGCUGGACACUUAGUGCCAGGGAUUGCAAAUCAUUAAUUGGACGUCCGGUCUCAAUAGGCAGUUUGGGGAAUUUGUCGACCCUUGUUUCAUCAGGCUACGUUGAGAUUGCAACACUUCCGAACGGCAUCGGAUUCCUUGAGAAUUUGUGGUGCUGGUCAUUGGGAAGCUGCCACCAAUUGAGAGAGAUUCCCAAUUCGAUUGGCAAGUUGAAAUUGUUGACUAGGUUGGACUUGAGUGGAUGUUCGCGUAUUGUGGAGCUGCCGCUUCAAAUGGGUGAACUAAAACAAUUGAAGAAACUACUGCGAUACAAGAAAUUCCUUCCUCCAUCGUUUCUCUAGAGAAGCUGGAGGAAGAUCAAACUAUGUUUUCUGAUAUUCCUUCCUACACGGACUAUCUAUUGGAGCUAGAGACGCUCAUUCCCAAGGACUGCGAAUUAACUCGAUAAGCUGUUUAGUGAAUUUGCUGACCCUUCUCUUAUCAAGCUGUGUGGAGUUUUUUGGAUUCCUUGACAUCAUUGGGUUUCUUGUGAAUCUACGGUGCUUGUCAUUGGGAAACUGCCAUGAAUUGAGAGAGAUCCCUAACUCAAUCGGGAAGUUGGAAUUGUUGACUCAACUGGACUUAUCAUGGACAAGGAUCACGGAAUUGCUUGAAGGAACUUCUGGGUAUCCGUAACAGUAGCAUAGAAACGCUACCGAUGGUAUUGGAAGGUUGGAAAAAAGUCUUGAGUUAUAUGCAUGAUGGUGCUCAAAUUUGGGAGGGAAUACCAAGCAUCCUUAAUCUUUCUUCUUUCAAGCCUUGUGCAUUUUGAUUUAAUGCCCAAUAAUCUGGAAUUCUUGUGGAUUUUUAUUCAAAUGAGUGGUUUGUGAUUUAGGUUUGGGUUUUCAUGAUGAAGUGGAAGCUGCAAUGUCAUUUCUGAUCUCUGCUCAUGGUGAAGUUUAGGAACCUGUUGGUGCUGUUGACGAUAGUGUUAUCUGCACAGCUUCCUUAAAUGGCGCCCUAUCUACUGCAGAUGCUCGGAAGAUUGUUAGAAGCAGCAGUAUUGAAUAACAUGGUGAUUCGUAACGUCUGGAAAUUACAGAUUGUUCAGCAGAAAAUUUGGUAUUUUUUAAAAAUAUUUUCAGGAAGGUAUUUUCCUGAAAAAUGAGAACAUUUUGUGAGUGGCCGAAAUGUAAAAAUGAACUGUCAAUUAUUUUCCUUCAUUUGAAAAGGAAAACUUGAUUUUACUUUGUUAAAGAGAUGUGCAUAAGGGAUACCUAGCAACAAGGGUUUCAAUUGUAGGAGUCGGGGUUUCUCUAUUGCAGAAAACAAGCGAUUGGAAGAGAAAAUAAAAAGAGAAGGAAACAAAUCACAUACCAAAUUUAUGUGAUUUGUCUGGCAAGACUUAUUCUUUGAAGAGAGGACCAAAUGAUUCUACUACAGAUCAAAUAAUACAAUGGAGAUCUCAAACGCAUUCGAGUCACAUGACUACUCUCAAUACAUCUUAACUCACGAUCACAUCUAAAAACUCACACAGUGUUCAACCUUCAUAAUAAGAAAAUAUCUCAAAGGAUAUAACAAAUCUUAUCAAAACACUUGCAAUUUCUACAUGAUGUGAUUCAUGAAAAUGUAGUCUCUAUGAUACUUUUUACUAAAAAUCAUUAAAUAAUAUCAAUUUAAUUUUUUUUCAUCAAUUUUAUUUUAUGAUUUUGUGGAUGCAAGUCACCCAAGCCAAUACCAGAAUUAUCUAGAAGAUCAUUGUCGAAACGGUGAUUCCUUUGAUGCAAUGAUGUACAGGCAGAGACGUGUGACAAAAGUUGCGAAGAUCCCUAUUUUCUUGAUAAAGGCAUGUGAAGCAGGUAAGUCAUCUUUUUUUUUUUAAAUUAAAAUAAUUUAAUUAUGUUUUGUUUAUUUUACAAAAAAUAAUUAAAAAAAAUAUUAUUCGAAUUUUUCAGCAUUUAAUUUAUGAAAAAUAAACUAAUUAGGGAAAUAUUUUCCAUCAAUGGAAGAAACAAUUUCAAAAAUUGAGAAAAUAAUUUCGUUUUCUGAAAAGAGAAAUUCCAUUUUCCAUUCUCUUUCUUUCACCUCUAGACCAAUCACUUUCAUUCAUCCACUAUGAUUUCGAAUAUAAUAUUAAGUUGAAAAAUUGUUGAUGAAGUGCAAGAGGUGACAAAGAGGAAUCUCUUUAGUUAGGGUGUAGCAAUAAAGCAAAGGCAUUGGCUAAACAAAGUCAAUGCCAUUUGUGAGUAUUCACUAGUUAUAGGACAUUGUGUUGUGUACAAGGAAGUACUAAAUAGUAUCUUGAUCGGAACGCGUGACCUGAAAUAUAGUCGACAAAUAAACAAUAUGAUUGGCCGUGAGAAGCCAAUAAAACUAAGUUCACAAGGGGGGAAUAGUUUACAUUUAUCGAUUGAUAGACGAAUUGAUAUCAAUCGAGUCAAAAAGUACUGACAUCAAUUCACUAAGUUUGAAUGAAAUCAAAUCGAUUAGAAGGACAAAAAUAGCUGGAACAAUUAUCAAAGGUUUGAUGGACAAUUGCGGUCAAGCAUUAAUUGAAGUUGAGUCAAUUAGUUGUUGCAGUCAAGCUCCCAAGGGGAUCAAUAAUACCAUCAAAUAUGGAGCCGAAAUUUGAUUUCAAUGAGUGAAAAUGGUUAUUAUGAUAGGCUAGCCACCCAUGGAGUAUGCAAAGAGCGCAUGAGGAAAUGAUGCGCACAAACAUCCGAAAAACAAGAUUUACUUCUGUCAAUGCACUUCUUUACAAUUUAUUUUCACUCGUUUCACAGCGAUUUAUUUCUUAUCAUGCUAGUUGUUUAUUUCUAUUUAUCCAUCAACAAGUGCCCUCAUUCUUUUGGAAAGACGUGUUGUCAUCAGUCGAUUCAUUUCAUCAGUUUAAAAGCCCAUUCAUCAAGUGUUUGGUGCGUGGUUCCGUCAAAUUAACGUACAAGAACUGUGAUGUUUGACUAGGAUUGUUGAUCAAUCAGAGCGGAAUAAUUCCUUAUGUCGAGUCAAUGAAACGGAGAAGUUUUUGAGCUUUGAACUGGAUUGGCACAGACUUGGUUAGUGAUCCUCACUGUAAUUCCUACUCACUAUCAUAGGAGCAAGUGGUCACUUGUGAAUUCUCACCACACGUCGUGCUGAUAGGAUUUACAGCUUUGAUUCAUCAGUAAAUCCAUUUGAUAUUUGUCUGCUAAACUUUGUUGUAGAACUUAAGAGUUUCUUACUUAAGGAAGUCGUCGUCGGAGUUGGCUUGGAAUGGAUAUAUCCACUAGGGGUGUCAAUAGUUCGGUUCGGUUCGAUUUUUUUGAAAAACCGAACCAAACCGAACCGAAUCGUUAGAAAAAACUUCCAAACCGAACCGAAUGAGACCUGAACCAAACCGAAAUUUUGGUUCGGUUCGGUUCAGCUUUUCGGUUUUUGGUUUUCAGCUUUUGGUUUUUGUUUUUUUUUUUUUCUGUUCAACUCAAAAUAAUCUAAAUUCAAUAUGUUAACUUCAAGCUUAAAGGAUUUUGCAAUUUAGAUCAUAUACUACAUUCCCUUUUUCAAGCAUUGGCCAAGUAAUGAUAUCCAAUUUAAACAAUUGUUUAACAUAAUCAAUUGAGACUUGAUUGAGGCUUUUUUGAAAUAGUGCGAGUGGCCCUGCAAAGAAACUACUUGGGAGAUCAUACACAAAAAUGGAUUUCAAGAAGGAAAAAGAAGAAAGUGAGAACAUGGCAUUUGAAAGUCGUGAAAAAUCACAAUUUUGAGAAGAUCACAAAAAAAAGAAAAAAAAAAAAAGAAAAGAAGAAUAAGCGAAAGGUGAGCUUCACUUGGACCCGUGUCAAUUAACUAAUGAACUAGAAUAUUAGCUAAGAGGCACAACUAAAGCCUGCAAAGUUUUAAUGUACGCAUUAGUAUUACGAUCAUAUAGCUGAUAGAUUGGUUGGGGGUAAAUGCUCGCCUAUUUAUUAUUCGCAGCUAAAUAUUCUAAGAAGUUUAAGUUAAUGAACUACCGUGUCAUUUUUUUUAACAUGAUAUGAUCUAAACACUUUUUAACACAUUUAAUAUUAAGCUUCAAAGGACUUUUUCAUUCAUUGUUUCUUGUACCCUACUAAAACCAGGUCUCUUUUCAUUUUCUUUCAAAUCAGAGGCUGAAAAUCAGAAAGUGCUAGACUCAGGGCCUUGGUCAUUUUCUAGCAAUCUCUUAGUGUUACAGCAAUGCGACCCAGACACUCUAGAAAUGUGUUAUGAGUUCAUCCAUUGCCCAUUUUGGGUGCAUCUUUAUGGACUCCCAUUUGGAAGAGUAUCAAAUGAAAUAGUGAAAGAGAUAGCCUCUAAACUUGGGGAGGUUAUAGAUGUCAAGCUGGAAGCAAAGGGGAGCAGCAAUUAUAAAGUAGGCAAAGCUAGAGUAAUUCUGAAUCUGGCUAAUCCCCUCAAGACAGGCAUUGUUAUCAACCUAGGAAAUAAAAACCUAUGGAUAUAAUUUAAAUAUGAGAGACUCCCACAUUAUUGUUAUUCUUGCGGUAAGAUUGGGCAUUAUGCCACGGCCUGCAAAGAAAUACCAUAUGAGCAGUCAGGGUUAGAGGAAAACUUGCCAGGCAAUUUUGGGCAAUGGCUCCGAGCGGAAGUGAAAGAAUUGAGUCCUUACGGGAAAAUAUUCUAUGGUAAACAAGCUGAAACCCAAACAGCACAAGGAAUGGUCCCUGAAAAUCCUAUUCCUACUACAACUGAAGAGGUUUAGAAGUUGAAAGAGGUAGCUGCGAAGCCUAGCGGGCCAUUUUGUGGACAUCAGCUCACUAUGGAGAAUGCUGAGGAGGAGGGUGAGAACUCCUCCUCUCCAUUAGCAAUUAUGUUAGUUGAAGAUAAAGGUACACAAAAGAGAGGUAGUAGUUGCUUAGAUGAUGAGUCUACUAUGGUGCUAUAUAAAGAACAAAUGAGGGAACUUGAAGCUGAGAUGCUAGAAAUCCUAGAAAUCUCACACAACCUAAUAAGGUGCAAAGCAAAAGGUACCAAACUAACCACAUCAAAAAAGGGAAAGGGAUUUUUCUCUUAUGGUGCGCAUUCUUCCAAAUUAGUAUCUUUAGACAUAUCACAACUAGUGGAUAACCCUAUCAUAGUGGAGGAGAAGGAAAUUAAGUGGGCUUUGGUGGCUAGCCCUAAUAGACCACUGGGUAACCCAUGAAGCUUCUGAGUUGGAAUUGUCAGGGGUUGGGCUCACCCUUGACAAUUCAAGCAUUGCGAGUCUUAGUGACUCAGGAAAGGCCCAGCAUAAACUUUUUAAUGGAAACAAAAAAUCAAGAGCAAAUGGUGCUAAAGCUACGAAGAAGGCUUAAGUUUCAAAACAGCUUCCUAGUAAAUCCCGUAGGAAUUGCUAGGGGCAUGACUAUUUUCUAGGAUGACUAGGUAGAUUUUUCAGUUGAAUCACAUACAAAUAACUUAAUAAACAUGCAUUGCCAACUUCAUGAAAGCAGACAGCUCAUGAAAAUCACCAACCUACAUGCCCCAAAUGAUUUCAAAGAAAGAGUACUCUUAUGGGAGGAUAUACAAAAAGCAAGUGCUGCAAAUUUCCUACCAUGGCUAUGUAUGGGUGACUUCAAUGAAAUUUUGUACCAUUGGGAGAAAGUGGGUAAAAAGAAGGCAGAACAUUUUCGACUCACAACGUUUAGAGAUUUUCUUCAUGCUUGUUCUCUGAUGGAUUUGGAAUGGAAGGGGUGUGCUUUACUUGGACUAAUUGAAGAGAAGAAGAUGAAUUUGUAAAGAAGAGGCUGGACAGGGCUCUAUGUUCAAUGGAGUGGAGGGUUGCUUAUCCAAAUGUUGAAGUAGUAGCCCUACUAGCUAUUGGCUUUGACCAUAGCCCACUAAUAUUGUCAAUCUCCCCAAAGAAUGAACGCAGGAGGAAGGAGUUUAGAUAUGAAGCUUUUUGGGCAGAAGAUGAGGAGUGCGAGCACAUUGUAAAGAGAGCUUGGUCCAAUUUAGAAUCUCCUAGAGCAAAUAUAGCAAGGAAACUCAAUCUAAUGGCUAAAUAACUUGCUGAAUGGAGCAAAAAACGCUUCCCCAAUGCACAGAAAAGAAUAUUAUGGCUGAAAAAUGAAUUCCAGAAUUUGCAAAAUAGUCCUGAAAUACAUGGGGAUAGUCAAAGAGUUUAGCAAAUGAAUAAAGAGAUCGAAUCCUUGUGGAGACAGGAGGAGAUGUUUUAGGGAAUGAGAUCUAGAAUUAGCUGGCUGAAAUAGGGUGAUAGAAACACAAAGUUCUUUCAUGCAACAACCAUAUAAAGGAGAACUAGAAAUCGUAUCUCUAUGCUCAAGAAUGCAUAAGGGGAAUGGGUUAGAAAUGAGGAUAAUCUCAACGAAAUGACAGGCACUUUCUUUAAUAAUCUUUAUACGUCGAUGGGUUCCCGAAAUUUCCAGCCUAUCCUAAGUCAAAUCCCUAGCUCAAUUGACGCAAUUAUGUACCAAAAGCUGAUUGAACCUGUUACUAUGGAGGAAAUUACUACCGCUACUCACCAAUUAGGAGCUACUAAAGAUCCAGGGCCGAAUGGUUUGAAUGGGUUAUUUUUCUAGCAUCAUUGGCAGGAAAUUAACCAGGAUAUCUUUAAGGAGGUACAACAAUUCUUUGAUACUGGACAAUUAAACCCAGACUUAAACAGAACCCUUAUCACCUUCAUCCCCAAAAACCCAAACCCCGAAAAGCUAGAACAAUUCCGCCCAAUUAGCCUAUGCAAUUUUGCUUAUAAAAUUAUUUCCAAAAUCCUUACAAACAAGCUGAAACAUUUGCUUCCAAACCUAAUUACAGCAGAACAAAGUACUUACAUGGGGGGCAGGCAGAUUCAAGAUAAUAUUCUGAUUGGCGACUCUCGGUUGUCGUGAAAAUCUUGAGAUUUCAAAUACGAACACAUGGUACAUAAAUGACAGAAAAAUCGGUCUAGUGCCGUUCGACGAGAAUUUUGUAAUUAGGUAGAAUCACCCACACACUAAUCACAUACUUCUGUUGAACCGACCUAUCUCCGGUCUCUAGUUGAUUUUGACAAUGCCGUAAUGACCAUUGCAGAUUAGCACAGUCAAACAGUUGAUCCUGGUCGAAUUCUCGAGUCUAUUGCGUUUAGAUUCCUUAAUGGCUUCACCUGAUAGGUUAGUUAUCUCAUGAGUGGCCAACUUAGAGAAAAGAAAUAUUGGCGUGUUGAUGAAAAAUCCAGCUUUUUCAAUCGAAAACAGAACCUGAAAAUCAGGAUGUCACAGGCAAUACUCCUAAACCUAUUCCCUCCCCCGAGGGAUAGGUCACGACAUUAAGCUAAAACUAAAUUCAGUCCCUAUAUUUGUCACGCCCCGAUCCUCGGACGCGCGCACAUCCUUCUACUUGGUCGAUUUUAGAAUGCGAUAUCCCAGGACUAUGUAUCGCCGACCCUUUCUUUUUAUUAAGCACAUGCGGAAGCAAUUAUAAAUCCCCAGACAAUAAAACAAUGGGAUAGGAAAGUAGGCCAUAUUUUUCAUAUUGAAAUUCAUAACCACACUUUCAUUAACAGCACAACUCAUAGUAUAUUUACAAUACUAUUUACAGCAUAAAAGUCUGACACCUAUCUACACUGAAACAGGGUUCACAAAAGGGAUGGGAUCCCAAUCCACAUCUGGGUUAUUUUCAAGAUCCCUCUCUGGAUCAUCUUCUACUUCAAAAUACUUUCUCCCCUUCAGGUUCCUCUUCCUUAGCUCCUCCUCAGGGUCCUGAAAUGAUUAUUCAAUAACCAAUGAGACCACGUCUCAGCGAGUCCUACCCACUAAGACCCGAUUAAUAAACUAAUACGCCAUACGGUUGCCUAAGCACAACACGAGUCAGAGGACUUACCUUGGCCUCAGUUCCAACCUGCAAUUCAAGGUUAAACACAAGUAUUCAAACAAUUCACGACAUUCGAUCAAGCACUGGCCAAUCGACUAAGUCGAUUACAUGUCAAUUAGACCCUCUCUAGGUCAUUCCCACUCAUACCACGCUUUCUCAGUGGUGUACUCAUUCACCAAAUCACAUGUGUUUCUCGGGCGUCGUUUUCGCCAAUGACAUACCGAUCACCGACACCGUGCGUUCUUUAAGGCGCCGUUUUCACCAGUGAUAACCUUGAUCACCGAACCACGUGUCCUUUCAAGGGCGUCGUUUUCGCCAAGGUGACAUCGGCUAUAGACAACAUCGUGCGUUCUUUAAGGCGCCGUUUUCACCAGUGAUAUUCCCAUAAUCACCGAACCACGUUUGUCUAUAAGUCAUUCACGUGCGUUCUUUAAGGCGCCGUUUUCGCCAGUGAUACUUCCAAUCACCGAACCACGUAUGUCCAAUAAUAUCGUACCUGAUUGGUCUCACCAUUCUCCCUACUAUAUAGCCCAUCAACGUACUGGCGCUAUAUACCCAUGCUUGGCCAUUACCAAUCAAAUAUUCAAUAACAAACAAUUUAGGACAAUUCCUAAAAUUCCACAAUAAAUUCAAUUCCACACAACGUAGAACUCAAAUAAAUAAACAGUCUGCACCACGACAAUCGGCACGAAAUUCCGGUCACCGGCCAUCCCGGUUGAAUUUCCGGAAAAAUAAUUAAUAAAAUAAAUAAAUUUCGAAAAUAAAUAAAUAAACAUUAAAAAUCCAAUUUAGGCCUAUAUUGCCUUAUUGGAGCCCGAAACGGGUCGGGAAAAAUCCCGAGAUGCAUUCAAUAAAUAACCAAACAUUUCUACUUGCUAAUAGCUAGGUCUAACCACCUAACAUGCAUCGUUAAGUCACUAAAUUAAAUGUUCUAACCUAAUCUAACCACCUAAGUGCAUGUAAUUAAAUCUAACCAACCUUAAGACAUAAUUAGCAAACUAAUAAAGCAUUAGUGAGUAAAACUCACUUGGCAAAAGCGGAGACCGAAUCACCGCGACGGCGGCCGAAAUCGAACUUUCGACAACACCGGCGGGCUUGGGACCGGGCCUUGACCUUGGCCCAACAAAUCUCAGCCCAACUGAGAUUUGUUCUUGCUUUUGGGCCAGACCCAAGUUGAAUUGGGCCUGCUGAAAUUUCUGGACUGACUUCACUUGGGCUUCAAAUUUCUUUGCUGGAAAUUGGGCCUCCAAUUUCAGUUGAUGGGCUGCUGAACUGGGCUUGACUAAUUACUUCACUUGGAUUGAACUGGGCUUGAAGAUUGCAGGAGAUGGGCCUUAAUAAAAUUCUGCUGAUGGGCUGCUAUUGGUGAGAUUCGAUUGGGCUGACUUGCGGGGCUUGUGCAGAAGCUUCGCUGGGCUGAAGAGUUGGGCCGCAAUCCACGAAGAGAUUUGCGUGGGCUGCUUCGGUCUUCGCUGGAGGGUGCUGCGACUUCAGCCAGUCAAUUGCUUCAGCAAUUGAGUUACACGAAGGAGAAAUGGAGGCCACGUGAACGAGGCAGCAAGCGGGGAUUCAAUGAAAUCAACGGUGGAGGAAAUUCUCGGGCAGCUUGCUAGCUUCUGUGGCCGACCAACCUCAGUGGAAUCGGGGCUUCAAGCGGUCAACCAAGAGCUCCAAUUGAAGCUGCGUGGAACUUGGGUCUUCGUGGGCAGAAGGCGCGAACGAGGGAGCAGCUUGGGUCUUCAUGGAGUGCAUUAGCACCGACGUGGCAGCUUCACGAGAUCAACAAAGUGGGACGGUUCUUGCUGGAGUUGACCGUGGAAGCUGCAGCUUGGCCGCGUGGCUGAAGAAGAAGGUUGCUGGGCUUCUUCGUUGGCGUCGUGGGGUCUUCGGUCAACAAACCGAAGCUUGUUGCUGGAGUUUGACCCACGGAGCAAGUCGGAUGCGCGGAGGCUGAGGGACGCGCGGAUGAAAGGAGUUGUAACUGCUGGCGGUUCAAUUUGUUGGCUUCUCGGUGGAUCGUGGCUUCAAGGGUCAACAACUUGAUGAAGCUGACCAAGGUUGCGGUAGUGGAAGUCUUCGUGGCAACAAAGUGGAGGAAAGCUGGAGCUGCAACAAACGGUGGAGUCUUCGUGGACGAGGAAGUAGCUGGUUGGCGUGGCUGCAGGUCUUCGUGGCUGUUGGCAAGGCAUGAACGAAGAUGUUGGACUUUGGGAUUCGGUGGCAGCGCGAGAGAGAAGCAAAUCGUAGACGGGGCUUCGGUUUUCUCGAGUGAAAGAGAGGAAGAUGAAGGGGAAACCGCACGAAGAAAAUGAAAAGGUAGAGAAGCAAUUCACGGCAGCUUGGGAAGAGGAUGAGGAAGAGGUGGGCCUUAGCUUGAUAUUUUGCAAGAAUAUCCUCCAUGAAUCACUCUUAGCCAAGUAAAAACACUUGGCCUUCAUUAGACCAUCCAAAUGACCCCCAUAACCUCUCAACUAGUCCAAAAAUGCUAGAGUGAGGGGAUGAUACGAAUUUCACCAUUUGAACUUCAAUUUCUCCAAUAAAUUCCCAAAUUGAGGUCCAAUUUCGACGUAGAAAAAUCCCAAGAAAUUUUCUAUAAAUCUCCGACACACACAGGCUCAACCCAAAAGUCAAAUUUCCCAUUAAUUUAGCCAAUCUGAACUUCGGCCAAAUUUCCGCGACGUCCGAAUCCAAUUUCCGUAAAAUUUCCCGAAUCUCCGAAAAUUUUCUGAGACUGAGUCGAUGCUCCUAAAAUUUAUUGUGACAUGGCCAAAACUUCAAUUUCUGAAAUCGGACUCGAAUUGGCGGUUAAUUUUCAUUCGGCGCGUUUUUAGCGUGACCUAGACUAUCGGGUAGUUUUCAGAACUUUUUAAGGCAAAUGACCCGUGGUCGAUUUUCUUCGAGCCACUAUAAAUCCACUCGACUCAAUGGUGACUCUUGAUUGUCGUGAAAAUCUCGAGGAUUCAAUUACGGACACAGGGUACCAAAACAAUAAGAAAAUCAGUCUAGUGUCGGCCGAUGAGAAUUUUCUAAUUUAGUGGUGUCACCCACGAUUAGCCACACAUCUCAGUCGAACCGACCUAUCUCUGAUCUCUAAUCGAUUUUAUACUGCGCCGCAAUGGCCUCUAAAGAUAGACAUGGUCAAGAAGCCGAUUCCUGAUCGAGUUCUCAAGUCUAUUGCCUUAAAAUUCCUUAAUAAUUUCCCCAGCUAGUCUAGUUAUCUCGAGAGUGAUCGGCUCUGAGAAUAACCCUAUAGACGCGUCAAUGAAAUGCCCGAUUAAUUCAGUAGAAGACAGGGUUGAAAAUUUGGGAUGUCACAAUAUUUGUGAUGGCUAAAUAUACUAGCCUCUAAACCGAAGUAUACCUUUUGGUUCCAUACUAUUAAGAAGGAUAAAUUUUAGGGCUUUGUUACAUGGUUUUAGUGUCACAGCUUUUUUUUUUUUUAUAAUGAAAACUCAAUUACUUUUGUCUUAUUUUCAUUGAUAAUCAUAUGAAAAUAUGAAAUUAAGACUAAUUAUUAAUUGGUGAUUUCUACAUUUAGAAAUUUGCCUGACUUGAUUGACAUUUCCAUUAAGAAUAAUUUUACACCGUAUGCAACAAUUGCAUCUUUAUUUUCAGUCCAAAUCCGUAUACACAAAUUCAGGACUAUUCUUUGGAAAAACAGAGACACUUUUAAAUCUUCUAGCUACUACUUAACUCACUAUUUAAUAGGCAAAAUAUUUUGAAAAGUUAAUCGGAAUUCUUUCAAUUCUAGCAAUCCUAACAAGUUCGCAUGACGUUGAUUGUAAGGGGCUGUUGGUAUAGGGGGGAAGGCUAUUAGUAUCAAUUGUCAAACUCAACUCUAAAAUAUUAAGGGCCUUUACAAAAAGCUCCUUCAAUUAUCGGUAAUAAAACAACCAAUAGCAAUUAUAAACACUUACACACACAUAAAUGUGCGUGCAUCAAAUUGAAAAUCCACGUCAUUUAAAUUUGAGUUAAAAUGGAAAUGUGAAAAAUCAUACUUAUGGACACGAACUAAUUUUGUUGCAAAAAUAAAGUACAUGGGCUACAAGUCUACCUUUUCCAUCUUUUUUGGUGGUCCUAAGCAUGUUCGACUAUAAGAAGAGUAGAGAAAAUAGAGCUAGACCGAAUUGUGGUCGUGCUGAGAAGUACUAUGACUUGUAUUUUUGGUAAUAUUUAUUAUAAAAUUACAAUACCUAAAAAUUGGAUUAAGUGAAUGUAAGUUUAAUAUAAUAUUUUAUUAUUGAUAUUGCUCUAUCAUUUGAGUAAAGUAAACGCAAUAUUAACUGAAGAGGAUUUGUAUAGGUUAUCAUUAUCCUUUUCUAGUGAUGAUGCUCGAAAGCAUAUAAUUUAUUAUGUAUUUUUAAAGAAGGUAGACUUUUAUCUAGUGUUUUCAUUUUCAAACAGAUUGAGAAUUCUAGUUUAUACCACUUCCUAUAAUAUUUUAAUUCAUUUCUCUAAGCACUCCUAUCUUUCUAAUUUGAACCUGGAAGUAGUUUUCAUAUGAAGGAAGAUCACCCAAAGUAAUCUAUUUUGCAAAAAGAGAAGGCCAUCAUCCGCAUUAUGAAAUGGUAGGAAAUACCCUUGUCUUAAAAACACCCUUGGCGUGCAUGUAUGUGUUACACACAUAUUAAAAUAGAUCAUAAAUAUAUUUCUUAAUCCAUAGAUGAUAGACUGAGUUAUUAUAUGCGUUAAUUAUAUUCAAUAAAUAUGUUAUAAAUAGAUUUAAAUAUAAUAUUGGUGUUAAAUGUGUUAUAAAUAUGUUUAUAACUUACUUAAACCAAAUCUAUCUCUAUAACUUUUUCUUCAUUCUCUCUCGUCCUCAUUUGAUAUUGUGUUCACUCACUCCACACUCUUACUCCAAUUUGGGUAUAAUUUUUUUUUUCUAGAUUUGGUUAAAUAUGAAAUAUUUUAACAAUAUGAGUUAGAUUGGAUAUGAGCCAGAUUAGGUACGAGUCCUUAGAUUUGUAUUAUAUGGAAACGAGUCAAAACAUGUUAAAUGGUUCUAUUUUUGGUUCUACUUGGCCUACCCGUUUGACGGAUCUAAUACAAGAGGGAGUAUUUUUGUUUUUUUGGAAUAAGAAUUUAUAAUUCUAGCCUCACAAUUAUUUGAAUUUCGGGGGGCCCACAUGCUAAGCAUGUGUUUACAACUGUCACUCCAUAAAACACUAGGUAGGAUACUAGGGGUAAUUAGUUUUUGGUUCGAGUUAGUUUCACCUAGGAAUUGGGAAUCAGAUUGGGAGAAUCGGUACCUAGUUUUUGGGACUGAGAAUCGGAUCGGGAUAGUUAGUUCCUAGUUUUUGGGACCAUGGACUAGAUCAGAUGGUCUUGGGAUCGAGAAUCGAAUCGAAUCGACCAGUCCGAUCCAAUGAAACCUAUCACUUAGCAAAAAAAAAUUAAUUUUUUUUAAAAGGUACUAGAGUUGUCACUAUUUUUAAGAAAUAAAAAAAAGGAAUAAAUCACCAGUUCCAUUUUUAUGGAACCGGGAACUAGAUCAAUGCCCCUGGAAACCAAACAAAUUGGUUGGUCUGGUCGAUUCGAGCUGUUCUCGAUUCGAUCAAUCCAAUAUGCUCACCCCUAUAAAAUACUAUUUAAUCAAAAGAUACGUAAAUUAGAUCAACAUGCCAUUUCAUCCGGCAAUAUCAAAGUGAUUUUGGUAGUCUAGGGAUGCUCUAUUCUUCGGGCUUAAGCAAGGAAGUCGGCAGAUGAUUUUGUGCUAAAAAAGCAAAAGGUGAUCAGUGUAAAUUCACUUGCCCAUCUGCAAGAGUCAUUUGUAGUGGGCCAAGGCAUAGACAAAUUUAUAAAAAAGCGCCUUAAGGAUAUUUAUUCAACACUAAUCAAAUAAACUUUAUAAGUUUCGCCCAAGAUGGAUUUUAGUGGGUCCUUUAUAAACCACUUUCAACCCAUUUAGUAAGCACACUUUGGUCCUCCUUCGCCAAUCUCAUCUUUCUAUUCGAUUUUGUGACUCGUGACCUUCUCCUUUUGGUUACUCUACUUCUGUAAUCGUCAAGUUUUACUCAAUCUUUAACUCACACAACUACACUUCUGAGGAAACCCAAACUUUUACUACCAUUUGCACACUCCCGUCAUAACUUGACCAUCGAACUCCCUCACUAUAAUUGACAAGUUGGGUUGAUUUAUGGAGCAAUCCAUUUUUCAAAGGCAACAAUUUAAGGAAAAGUCAAUAAAACUAGAUUUUGACUUGGGUCGAGUUUGAGUCAAAUGCGAGAUGGGUAUAGAUCACUAAAUUUCUAUUGAAUAUAAAUGGAUCUAUUUGGAUUAGACAAUGUCCGACCCAACCCACCCUUUAUACUAUUUAAUGAAAAGAUUGUUAAUUAGUCCAAGUGGCUGGGAUCGAUGGGCAAUUUUACCCAGCAAUAUAAAAAGAAUCUAAUUGCUCUCUGUUUUGUGUUUUUUUCUUUUGGUAAAGUCAAAGUAGACUUUCAUUCGGUUUUGAUAACAUUUCAUUUGCACCUACCCUCACCCUGCAUCCAGAAAAGAGCUCGGCGAGUGGGUGGACAGACCAGCUAGGUUAUGCAUUCGUUCGUAACUUCGUAUUCACCCCUAGUGCAAGGAAGUUGGCAGAUGAUGUUCGUCUUAAAAGCAAAUGCAGAUCAGUGUAAAUUCAUUUACCCACCUCCAAGGGUCAUCUGUGGUGGGCCCGCACGUGCUUCCUGCAUCUUCGUCAAACAUUAUUACAUAUUUAUAUAACAAUUAUAAAUAUGCAAACCUUCGGGAAAGGAAUAAAGUAGAAACAAGACCGGUCGGCUCUGAAAAUAUAAUUUACGUUGCACGUCCCGGUGCAUCGAGCGUCGGUAUGUCCAUAGGAUUCUCCUACUUUUUUACUUUUUUAAAGUACCACAUGGCAAGAUUCGGGGAGCCAGUCCUCUUGAUCCGUUCCUUGUAUUCAUUUAACUGCAUUGCCAAGACAUAAAUAUAUCCAUAAAAAAGAAAAUUCUUUUAAUGAGUGUCUCAACAAUACAUAUUCGUCACCAAUUAAAGAAAUUUUAUAGUAUGCUUUUUUUCUAUAUAUUAUACUUAAUCAAUACCUCUAGAGUUUAUUUGUUAACUGGUCAAAAAGUAUCUAAUUUAUUUUUUUUAUUUUCUGGAAAAAAAAAAAAGAAAUUCGUUUGGUAACUUUUUUGUUCCCAGAACAUAAUCAAGAAGUAUACAAAAGUUGCUUAUUUGUUCCUAUGAUCAAUUCCAAAAUCAAACUAAAUUUUCUUCUCUCUCUCUCUCUCUCUCUCUCUCUCUCUCUCUCUCUCUCUUCCUUUUUCUCUUCUUCUUUCUCAUUACUGGUUGAGCGAGCACACCGAAGCCUCGUAAGGCUAGGGCGAGGCCUAGCGAGGGUCGACCUCGCUCAAAUCUGGUAAGGCCGAGCCUUCCCAGUCAUCAUUGCUAGCGGCUGUGAGACUCGGCCUCGCCAAGCCAGGGCAAAGAAGGCCUCGCAUUGGCUGGGUGAGGUCAAGCCUUGCCGGUGGCCAGGCAAACUCACCUAGCCACCGGCGAGGUCGUUGGACCUUGCCUAGCUGGUCGCUGAUGGCUAGCGAUCGGCUAGAGAAGAAGAAGAAAACAGAUGGAAAAAGAAAAAGACAAAAAAAUAAAAGAAAAAGAGAAAACUAUAAUAAUAGUACUAAAAAAUUAAAAGAAAUUCUAAGUCACAAAAGAAUUUGAAAUUUUAUCAAAUGCAUUUCAAUCCUAGAAGUAGAAAUUUUGGAUAAUUACUAAACGUAUUCAAAUGUUCAGAAACUCAUCUAGGGAACCGAAUAAGAAAGAAUCAUUUGUAAGCAAAAAUUAUUUUAGGAAAAAGAAUUGUCACGUCCCAAUUCUUGAGCACGCGCCCAUCCCUAACUGGUCGAUUAAAUAGCGACGUCCCAAGACGUAUUGCCAACCCAUUCAUUUUAAUAUGCAUGCAGAAGCAGAUAUAAAAUCCAUAAACAAUAAAACAAUGGGAUAGAAAAGUAGGGUCAUAAACCUCGAACCUGAAAAACAACCACACUUAAAUACAUAUACAACAAUUGAGUUAUAUAUAUACAUACAACACAAAGUAACAAGUUAGGUUCUACUCAAAGCCAGUUCAACAAAUAGGGUUUGCAAACAGGGGUGGGGUUUUUGAUCUACUCCGGGUCAUCCUCCUCGAUGAUCUCUCCUUCUUCCUCACUCUAGCUGUAGCCCACGACUGAGUACACUGGAGAAUUAGAAUCACCCUCAAGUUUGGGAUCCUUCGCAUCCACCACUGAUCCACCUUUAGGGUUUGUUGUACCCUUUCCAAACGUAACCUCCAUCACAUAUAGAGGUACAUCAAAUUUUAGUAUCGGGCCCUCUCUUCAUCCAUCAUUGUAAUGGCGAUACCAUGCCCAGUAUUCAUGGGGCACAUUUUUGGGUAAGCCCGCAUCAACCUAGAUUGUGGAUUUCACCAUUACAUACUCUAACCCUUUAGGGUGAACUCUGCUAUGUGCACUUCUUCAGUUGAUCAAAAUGCUUGGGAGGAGCUAGAAGUGUUGCCAUCUAUGGACCUGAAAUGUUAUUCCGCAACGGGGUGAGACGACGUCUCAGUGAGUUUCACCUCCUAAGAUCCGAUUAGGAAGCAAAUACGCCUUAAGGGCUGCCUAUACACACACAUGAGUCGGAGGACUUACCUUGGCCUCAGUCCCUUCCUGUCAGACAAUACAAUUCAAAUAAUUAUUCAAUCAGAUCGAACUAUCGAUCAAUCGACUCAGUCGAUUCCAUGUCAUCACGACCUUCCCUGAUCAUCUCAAUCAAUACUAUCUAUAAAGUCCGACCAUAGUUUAGGAUUGCUCACCCAAAGCUUAAAAUAGAUACUAUAGUUCACCCAAAGCUGAUAAUAUAGUAUAUUGCUCACCCAAAGCUGACAUAUCGCUCGUAGGCUGAUAUAGUAUACUAAUAAUGCUCAUCCAAAGCUAAUAACAAGAUAUACCACUCACUCAAAGUUGACAUAUGACCCGUAAGUCAAUAUAGUAUACCAUCCCAACCAUCCAACAUUUCUAUCAUUUUUAUUAUACCCGAUAAAAUAUCGUGUGUGGGUACACGGUCAGCCUUAGCCAAAAUAUAAUAAUUUUCUUUUCAUAAAUUCCAUAAUUUUCUAUAGUCCAAUAAAAUAUUUUUGGUGUUGUAAACUAAGGCUCAGUUAUUUUCCAAUCAAUUACGGAAAUUAAAUCAAUUUAAGAAUAAAACCCUAAAAUGCAAUUCAUGCACAAUAAGCACAAAUUAAAGCUCAAUUAAAUAAACAGAUUACAUCACAGUAAUCAGCAUAAAAUUCCAGUCACCGGCUAUCUCGGUCUAAUUUCCGAAAAAUAAAUAAAUAAUUAAAUAAUUACGGAAAUUAAUUAUUAAAUACCGAAAAUGCGACUUAGGCUCAAAAAAGCCUAAUUGAAUGCCGAGAUGGACCCGGAAAAUUUCCAAAUUACUCUAGAUAAAUAUUAGAGCUUGUCUAGGCCCUACUUGCACUAACUAUCCACCUAAUAUGCAUUGGUAAAUAAUUAAAUUCACUAAUCUAAUCUAACUAUCCACCUAAAUCAUGGUUAACCUAAACUAAUCAACUCUUAAGCAUCAUUAACCUACUAAGCGAGGAUUAGUGAGUUAACCUAAACUAAUCCUCUCUAAAGUGAGCUUGGCUUUCAGGGCCGGGAACACCUCCAAAACGGGCCAAAUAGUGUUGGAAACUCUUUACUGGCUUGCUCUCUGUUCUUGGCUGAUCUUGGGAUCAAGAAAGGCUGUUCAACAAUCGGGAGGGGCGGAAACAGUAAGGUUGAACUGGUAACGGCUGUAGCAAGCCUAGUGGACGAAAUUGGUGACGUAUGGCAGUCCGCAGUGGUCCGACGGCUAGGGGGAAGACUUUGGGACGUUGCUGGGGGCAUGGGGACGUCCAACGAGCGGAGGAUGGCACUGCGGCAGGGUGAGGCGAGACGGUGUGCGCGCAGGGCAGAGAUGGCGUGUGGUGGUCCAAUGGGCAGCUAUGGCGACGAGGGCUUCAUAGCUAGUCUUCUCUGCGGCUGAGGGGUUCAAGCAGCACAAAUGGAAGGGAAAUCAGGUUGGUUGACCGGCCUUGAGAGGGAGGAAGAGAUGGAGGAGAGAAGGAGGGAACAAAGGGUCCACCUCUCUUAUUCUCAACUUCUUGGUCCCCUUGACCAUCCACUGCCACCAGCUGGUCCCAUGGCCCAAAAUCAACCACCAAGACUCUUUUCUAGAAGCUCGGGAUUGUCCAAAUGUCGUGGGUGGUGGGGACACACGAAUUUGGCUCGGAUUUCUCUCCAAUUGGACGCCAUUCCUUCUUAAUUCAACACAAACUGGCCUUUAUAAAUUCAAUUGACACAUCACCAAUUCAAUUGGUAUUUUUCCUCACCAAUUGAUCCCAUGUGCUUCUCGAUUGUGCGAUAAAAAACGGUCCCCAACAUUUUCUAGACAAAAACAGCCCUACCUCUACUUUUUCUCAAAAAGUCUCGGUUUGCAGAAAAAUCUUCUAAAACUGAGUUGACAUUCCUAAAAUGAUUUAUAACAUAAUAGAAUUAGAAAUCGCAUUCAAAUUCGCGAUUAAUUUCAAUUCGGCAUGAUUUUAGCGUGACCUAGGCUACUAGGUAGCUUUUAGAAAUUUUUAGUAUAAAUGACCCGUGGUCGACUUUUUUCAAACCACAAUAAACUCACUCAACACAGUGGUGACUCUUGGUUGUUAUGAAAAUCUCAAUGAUUCAAAUAUGGACACAGGGUACCAAAAGGAUAGAAAAAUCAGUCUAGUGUCGGCCGACAAGAAUUUUCCAAAUUAGUGGAGUCACUCAUGUUUAGCCACACAUCUCAGUUGAACCAACCUAUCUUUAAUCUCUAAUCGAUUUUUAAUUGUGCCGUAAUGACCUUUAAAGAUGAGCACGGUCGAGUAGCCGAUUCAUGAUCGAAUUCUCAAGUCUAUUGCAUUAAAAUUCCUUAAUUGUUUCCCCAGAUGGUCUAGUUAUCUCGAGAGUGAUCAGUUUUGAGAACAGCCCUAUAAGCGCGUCGGUGAAACGCUCGAUUAAUUUAAUUGAAAGCAUAAUCGAAAAAUCAAUGAUGUCACAACUCUUCCGCUCUUAUAAAAAUUUCGUCCUCGAAAUUUAAACCAUUACAAUACUUAAUAAAAAAUGUGGGGGUCCAACUGUCUUAUCGACUCUUCAGUCUCCCAUGUUGUUCCUUCAGUAGCGUGGUGUUACUAGACUACUUUGACCAAUGGGAUGAUUUUUGUACGUAGAACUUGCUCUCUUCUAUCCACGAUCUGAAUUGGGCUUUCAACAUAUGACACUCAGUCAUUCACGUCCAAUUCUUCAAAAUUAAGCACGUGGGCCGAGUUAGGCUCAUACUUCCUCAACAUCGACACGUGAAAGACGUCGUGCACUUGCGCCAAUCUAGGUGGCAACGCAAGACGACACACUAGGGUCUUAAUUCUCUCUAGAACUUCAAAUGGACCUACGUACCUCGGACUCAAUUUACCUUUCUUACCAAAGCAUGAAGUUCCCCUCAUUGGCGACACUUUCAGAAAAACGUGAUUACCAACUUGGAAUUCCAAUGGUCUCCGACGCUUAUUUGCGUAACUUUUUUGUCUGCUCUGAGCGGUCUUUAAUCUACCUUUGAUUACUACAACGUCAUUCACUGACUGCUAGACCAACUCUGGGCCUGCAAUCUUUCUUUCCCCAACUUUAUCCCAACACACUGGUGUUCUGCACACUGUACCAUACAACGCUUCAAAAGGAGCCAUCUGGAUGCUCUACUGAUAACUAUUGUUGUAGGCAAAUUCCACAAGGUGAAGCUAUUCUUCCCAACUUCCUUUAAAAUCUAGCACACAAGCUCGCAGCAUGUCCUCAAUGGUUUGAAUUGUUCUCUUAGACUGGCCAUCCAUCUGAGGAUGAUAUGUUGUACUAAACUACAGUUUGGUACUUAAAGCACUCUGCAAACUCUUCCAAAAAGUGGCAGUAAAUCUCAGGUCUCUAUUUGAAGUUAUCGUCACCGGCACUCCAUGCAGACGAACUACUUGAUGCACGUAUAGAUCUAUGUGUCCAUCCAAACUGAGGUCUUUUCAUACUACAAUGAAGUGAGCCGACUUUAUCAAUUUGUCGACCACUACCCAAAUCAAAUCAUUACCUCUUUGACUCCUCGAUAGUCCGGUCACGAAAUUGUGGCAUCCCAAAAUUUCAUGGCAAUUUCUAGAGGCAUUAUGACUUAUGGAAAAGUGAAUGAUUGUAUCGUUGAAGUAUGUUGUGGCCACUAGACCAAAGAAUUGUAAUAAAUUAAGGCCAAGCAGUCUAUUGGACAAUUAUUUGAUGGGGAAAAUUUAAUUCUUGGCCGUGCGUUUUAUAAGUUGGAUUUUAUUAAUUUGUGUUACAAAAUUUUAUGGCCAACUAAAAUGCAGUUAAGUAUUUUUAUAAGUGGGGAAUUUAGGUUAGAUCUUUUAAAGGAGAGUGGGCCGAAAUUCUUAGGCCAAGCCGACCCAAAAACCCAGUCCACAACCCCACCAUUCGACUGGCCCAUGAAGCCCAAGAGGGGGCUGCCGUCGACCAAGGGGGAAGGGGGGGGAACCGGUUUGCAUGUCUCUCCAUUUGUCCCAUGAAGAAAGCCAAAUGUCAAAGCAUGCAAAGCUAAUGAUGAUUAAUCAUUGAGGGGAAGAAAUUAGUGAGGGGAAGGGGGCGGAUUACUCGAGAGAUUGAACUGAGAGAGAGAGUGACCGUCCGAGAGAGAGAGAGAGAGAGAGAGAGAGAGAGAGAGAGAGAGAGAGAGUGAAACAAGAGAGGGAGAGCUAGCGAGCGAGAGAAGAAGGGGAAGAGGGAGGCCGUUCGCUGCCGUUCGUCGCCGCCGUCAAGCCGCCGGGUCCCGCCUUGCCCCGCCAUCUUUGCUUGCUGUGUUGUGCUCGGAUUAGAGGCAAGUAGAGUCCAUAAAAUUACCCUUUGCUUGUUGUGAUAUGUGUUGUGAGGGAUGAUAAACUUUGGUUGUAGUAGAAGUGAAGAAAUUCGAAGCUCUGGGGAAGAAUAUGGUAGCCUUGCAUUCUGUUUUCUAGAAAGGUAGUCCGACCUUUGAUGAAUUCGUGAGCUGCAUGCAACUUUUUAGUUGGAAUCUCACUUCGACUUCUUGAUGAAAGUUGUAGAGAACUUCUUGGAGAGUAACAUAUCAAAAUUUCAGAAGAAAUGAACAAGUAUAGACCGGUGAAAAUAGUUUUUUUUAAGAAGUUAGAUCUGGAAAUCGUAAUGCUGACCUAGUGUGAUUCUGUGAAUUUUAUAAAAUUUUCCGGUUGAAAUUUGAUCUCGUUUUCUGAAUGAAAGUUGAAGAUGACAUGUUAAAAAGUAACAUACUAAAAUUUUAGAGGAAAUGGAUGAGUUUAUGUUAGUGAAACAAUCUUUAUCCAAAGCGGUUAGAACUGGAAUUCGGUGCCGAGGGUUAUGGACGGUUAUGGUUAUUAUAUUUUUUAAUCUAUCAAAAAUAUGGUUUCGAGUUCUUCAUGAAAUAUUUACUUCUGGAUUUUUUCUAUAUCAUAUAAAAAAUUUCAGAAUUUUUGGAGUUGAUUUAGGAUUUUUACUGAAUUUGUGAAUGAAACUGUGUAUGGCAAUAUUCCGAAAUUAUAAAGACUAUGAUGUGUGAACUAUACCAAAUUGUAUGAUGUUCUUUUGAUAUGGUGUUCUACAUGGAAUAUUUUCCUCUAUAUCUUGUAUAUAACAUGUCGAAUGUUUAGAAUUUAUUAAGGCUGUUUACUAAUUUUUCAAGUGUUAUAACCAAAGGAGUGCAAUCUGUUUUUAUCCGAAAUUUGUUGCAUUUUCAAAAAUAAAUGAAAUUGCUCCAUGUGAUAUAAUGUCUUGAGUGAUUGAUUAUGCUGCAUAUGUGGUGACAUGGCAUGUUAUAUGACAUCAAAAGCUGGUUGAGACAUUUGAUAUUGUUGCAUGAAAUGCCAUGUUGAAAUUGAGAUACAUGUGUGAAUAUAAAUUGAGAUAAUAACGAGACCAUUGGAGGUGUGAGCCGACGAUGCCUUGGGAGUGUUGGGAUGCCCAGAGUAUGGGUGCCAGAUGCCCGGAGUGUUGGGAUGCUCGGAGGUGUGUGUCGGAAGCCCUGGAGGUGUGUGCCGGGGGGAUUCCUCGUGAUGCCAAUUGGGGUACGAGAUGCUCGGAGUGUAUGUGCUGGACGCCCGGAGGUGUGUGCCGGAGGCUCCUCGCGAUGCCAGGUUGGAUGCGAGCGAUAAAUUGUGGGAUGCAAACAUUGGUCCCUGGGAAAAAAUGAUGUGAUCUAAUUGAAAGAUAAAUAUCGAGAAUGGAAUCAUGCGCAUGGAUGUGUACAUAUGGCAAGGGACGAACCUCAUGAAAAUGCAAGCAUGGAGUGCAUGGUGGUAUAUGCACGUUGCAUGGUGAUAUAUGCAUGGCUGCUUGAUGAUAUAAGUACAAGUGCAUGGUGAUUUAUGCAUGUUGUAUGGUGAUAUAUGCAUGGCUGUAAGGUGAGGUAUGUUUGAAUGCAUGGAUCAUAUGUGUUUUAUUCAUGAUACCUCGAUUGUUCUGUUUGAUGCAUUGUGUAGUUUGGUGGAUCUUUACUGCUAAAUGGUUGUACUUACCUCUUUGGGGAUUAACAUUUCAGAUUAGAAAGAUGCCUCUUUCACUAGUUGUGCGUGGUACCUUCUAUGGCAUACCUACUAACGUUGAGGUGGAGUGCAUAGAGCAUUCUUGUAUUAGUGUACCUGGUCUGGUGUAUGUCUGAGUCCGUGUCUUGGUGAUGUACGACAUGGGUUCUGCUGAUGGCCCUGUUAUCCAAGAGUUUUUGUCUGUUCACGUUCGACGCAAUGGGGUGAUGCUAGGGAUGUCGCCACUGCCGCCGCCCGAUGCAUCGUGUUGGGUGUGAUGGCACAUAUGAUUGAUGGGAGCUAACACUUUUUGGGGAUAGCCGACGCUUGUUGAUGGAAGGAAUUACAUGUUUGAUGUAGGGUCAAGUUCUCUUUUGAGUUAUAGCCAAGUAUAGUUAAAAAUGUAGGCCUUUUGUUGUACUGACCGGAAAUGUUCAUUGUGAAAAUAUAAAUAAAAGUGACUCGGCUUUGUCUUUUCAUUUGGAGCGUAGUUGGUGUGCAUUGCAUUAUUGUUAUUGGAGUAAGGGAUGGUGAGACUCGUUUAUGCUUCCACUAAUGAGCUGCGCCGGGACCUUUACAAAAUAAAAAGUGGGAGAAGAAUUUUAUUGAUAAACCCCUAUGAACUAUGAUUCCACUUUAAUUAAAAAGUUACAAGGAUUGGUAUGUAGUAGGAUAAGUGAUAAGUACCGGUGGAGACCCUAACAGAUCGGGGGCCGUCGAGGGGUGCCACAGAAAUCCAUCGUGAUAUGUUCCCAUUUCCACUCUGGGAUCUCGAGAGGUUAUAGAAGUCCUCCUGGUUUGCAAUGCUGAGCUUUGACCUGCUGACACGUCAAAUACUUGGCGACAUGCUUGGCGAUAUUCGCCUUCAUACCUGACCAUCAAUAGUGUUGACGUAGAUUCUAAUAUAUCUUGGUGCUACCAGGAUGAAUGGUGUAAUUGCUACGACGUGCUUCUAAUAAAAUAUCCCCUCUAAGCUCCACAUCGUCAGGUACAACCAAACGUCCUCGAAACCUCAUUAUUCCUUCAUCAGAAAUCUGAAAGUAAGCCUUUCUUUUCUUAGUGUCCUCUUGAUGAAUUUUCUGAACAUUUGGGUCUGUCGGUUGGAGUAACUUAAUUCUGAUCUGGACAUUCGGUUCAAUUUUGAGGGUGGCCAUAAGACUCGAAAGGUGGCCUACCUCAAACUUGAAUACUGAAUCUCGAGCUCUCUCGAUUAGAUUCCACUCCUUAAUUAGUACAUGAGCAACUGAAGACUUUCGACUUAAAGUAUCGGCGAUCUUAUUCACCUUCCCCGAGUGAUAUAGGAUAUCACAGUCGUAGUCCUUCAGUAAUUCCAUCUCUUAGCAUUGUCUCAUGUUCAACUCCUUUUGAGAGAACAUGUACUUGAGGCUUUGAUGGUCCGUGAAAAUCUGGAAUCUUUCUCCGCACAAAUAGUGUCUCCAAAUCUUCAAGGCGAAAAUAAUUGCCGUGAGUUCUAAGUCAUGCGUCGGAUAGUUUUGUUUAUGAAGUCUCAACUGAUGGGAAGCGUAUGCAACAACUCGGCCAUGUUGCAUCAGCACGUAACCCAAUCCUUUGAAUGACACAUCACUAUAGAUCUUGAAUCCUCCAGGACCAGAUGGAAGAGUCAGCAUAGGUGCGGUAAUUAGCUUUUGCUUCAGCUCUUGGAAACUACGCUCGCACUUGUCUGUCCACACAAAUUUCUCUUCUUUCUUCAGGAGUCUUGUCAAUGGCGACGUUAGUGAUGAAAACACUUCCACAAAUCGUCUGUAAUGACCUGCCAAACCCAAAAGCUUCUGAUUUCUGUCAAUAUAGUCGAUCUUGGCCAAUUGAUCACUGCUUCGAUCUUGCUCGGGUCCACCAAGAUUCCUUCGCUUGAAAUCACAUGCCCUAAGAAAGCAACGCGAGUCAGCCAAAACUCGCACUUGCUGAACUUGGUGUACAACUGAUGGACUCUUAGCGUUUGCAAUACUAAUCUCAAAUGACUCUCAUGCUCCUCAUCACUUCUCGAAUACACUAGAAUAUCAUCGAUGAACACGAUGACAAACCGACCUAGAUAUUCCUUGAAUACUUGGUUCAUCAUAUCCAUGAAGGUAGCUGGAGCAUUCGUCAACUUGAAUGGCAUCACUGUGAACUCAUAAUGACCAUACUAAGUACGAAAUGCUAAUUUUGGAAUGUCCUCCUUCCUGAUCCUCAGCUGAUGAUAUCUUGUCCUCAAGUCGAUCUUUUAAAAUAUCAACGCUCCUUGCAACUGAUCAAACAAGUCAUUGAUCCUCGGGAGUGGAUACUUGUUCUUGAUCGUUACUUGAUUGAGUUGCCGAUAGUCGAUGCACAGGCGUAACGAACCAUCUUUCUUCUUUACAAACAGAAUUGGCGCUCCUUAAGGUGAUGCACUGGGAUGAAUGAAUCCCUUAUCCAAUAACUUCUACAUUUGCACCUUCAGUUCCUUCAACUCAGAUAACGCCAUUCGGUAAUGAGCCUUAAAGAUUGGCUCUAUCCCAAGUGCUAACUCAAUCACGAACUCGAUUUCUCUCUCUAGCGGUAAUAUUGGCAAUUCCUUUGGAAAGACAUCAAGAAAUGCUUGCACCACAGCAAUGUCUUCCAUCUUUAGCUCCUCAACUGUCGUAUCCACGACAAUUGCUAGGUACCUUUGACAACCCUCAUCUAACAAGCGAGUUGCCUCUGGCGAUGAGAUCAAGAUAAUCGAGGGUCCUCCUCGACUCCCGACAAACUCGAAGUUCUUACCCUCUAACGGGUCAAACUGAAUUGCCUUGCGAUAGCAGUCCAUCUUAGCUCGUUGCUUGGUGAGCCAGUCCAUACCAAUGAUCAAAUCACAAUUAUACAUGGCUAGGACUAACAAGUCUAUUUUCGCCACUCGCUCACCAAUUGCUAACUUGUAACCAAAACAACUCAAAGCAGCUAUCACUUUAUCCUUCAAUAAUGUAGAUAUACUAACUGUCGACUCUAAUAACAUAGGACUUACUCCUAUCAACUUAACAUAUUGCUUGGAAAUAAAGGAAUGGGUUGCUCCUGGGUCGAAUAAAGCGUAAGCAAGAUGGUCGUUCAGCGAAACCAUAACUGUGAUCACGUUAGGUGUAGCCUCUGCCUGACCUUGUGUGAUGGCAUACAUCAUGCCUUGAACUGGGGGUCUAAGUUAUCCUCAUUGCGGCGCAUUCUAAGGUGCGUACCCUCUAAUCUAACCCAUCUAUGGCGGUGGUGGCAACUGCGGUUGUCCUCUUAGUAGGUUAAGACAAUCUCUAAUCAUAUGACCCCGUUGGCCACAUCCAUAACAAACACCCGGUCUUUGAGAACACAAUGCUGAACCAUGUCACCUUCCACACAGACGACAUAUACCAUUUUGGCUCGGCCCUGACUUUCCAACUCCACUCUUCCUGUUGGGUGGAACCUGGAAUCUACCUCCAGUCAUGGGCCUCUUCCCAUGACGGAUCCCUUCUCGGUGUGAAGUAAACCUCAAUCCAGACGAGGUGACUUGCUCAUUCAAACUCCUUUCAAGCAGUUGUGCUCGACGAUAGAUUUCUCAAUAAUCAAUCAGAUCGAACGACACUAGCAGUUGUUUCAAUUCUUGUCAAAUGCCAUUCUUGAAUCUUCGAGCCUUCUCUUCAGGAUCUUUAAUCAGCCUCGGAGCAUGCUGAGAAAGCUUCGCAAAUUUGACCCCAUACUGGUCAAUAGUCAUUGUCCCCUAACGGAGAUGCUGAAACUCUUCUAUUUUCUGCUCCCUGGCGUUCCUUGAGAAGUACUGCUCAUUGAAUGCCCUGAGGAAGGCAUCCCAUAGCAGGACCACUCCUCCUAGAAAUAUGGUCUCUCUAGCGGCUCUCCACCAGGUAUUGGCAUUACCCUGCAACUGAUAGAUUGCCAGGGUUACCUUCUCUUCUUCAGUGCACAUUAAAAGUGCAAAAGCCUUCUCCAAAUCUUGGAUCCACAUAGACGUGGCCUCGAGAUCUCUAGUACCGGUGAACCUUGGUGGGUUCAGCUUCAAAAACCGCUCCACCAACUUAUGUAUUGGCCUCUCUUUUUGCACCUUCUCAGGCUGGACCUCAAUAGGUGUGGCAACAGGUGCGGCGGCGGGUGCGGCCUUAGCAGCGACAGCAACGGCAGCAGUAGCAGCGGUGGUAGCAACAUCGGCUUGAUUCUGGGCCCGCUGCCUUAGCACUUCUCUCAUGGCCUCAAGCGCCUGCAUGAUCCCUUCGAUUCAAGGAUCACCAGGGGUUGCUACCCUGGCACCAAUGGGAGGUGGUGCCACUCCACUCGCGCUAGCCUGAGCUGGUGGUCGACCUCAGCCUCCUCGGGUACCGACCCUAGUCAGCAUCCUACCCUAAGUCACAACCCUGACGGUCCUCUUGCUAGGAGUCCUUUGCUCCUGAUCACUCAUGACUCAGCUUUAUCUACUGAAACCUACUUCCAAUUCCACACCAAAUUAGAAAUAGAGUGAUUUAAACAACAAGCAAUUCUACUAAUCAACUAUCACAGACAUGCACCAGCAUGAAUUUAAAGGUCAUUCCUAUUACUAUCCAAUAAAAUAUUGGGAUAGAAAAGUAGGGCCAUAAACCUCGAACCUGAAAAACAACCACACUUAUAUACAUAUACAACAACUGAGCUAUACAUAUACAUACAACACAAACUAACAAGUCAGGUUCUACUCAAAGCCAGUUCAACAAACAGGGUUUGCAAAUAGGGGUGGGGUUUUCGAUCUACUUUGGGUCAUCCUCCUCGACAAUCUCUCCUUCUUUUUCACUCCAGCUGGAGCCCACAACUAAGUACACCGAAGAAUCAAGAUCACCCCCAAGCUUGGGAUCCUUCUUAUCCAUCACCAAUCCACUCUUAGGGUCUAUUGUACCCAUUCUGAACGCAACCUCCAUCACAUACAGAGGUGCAUCAGAUUCUGGUACCGGGCCCUCUCUUCGUCCAUCACUAUAAUGGCAAUACCACGCUCGGUAUUCAUGGGGCACCUUUUUGGGUAAGCCCGCAUCAACCUAGAUUAUGGAUUUCACCAUUACAUACUCUAACCCUUCAGGGUGCCUGGUGAUCGGAAUGUGAUAACCAUGCUCUGUGAACUUCUUCAGUUGACCAAAAUGCUUGGGAGGAGCUGGAGGUGCUGCCAUCUAUGGACUUGAAAUGUUAUCCCACAACGGGGUGAGACGAUGUUUUAGCGAGUUCCACCCCUUAAGACCCAACUAGGAAGCAAAUACGUCAUAAGGGUUGCCUAUGCACACACAUGAGUCAGAGGACUUACCUUGGCCUUAGUUCAUUCUUGUCAAACAAUACAAUUCAAAUAAUUAUUUCAUCAGAUCGAACUAUCGAUCAAUCGACUCAGUCGAUUCCAUGUCAUCACGACCUUCCCCGGUCAUCUUGAUCAAUACUAUCUAUAAAGUCCGACUAUAGUCUAGGACUGCUCACCCAAAGCUAAAAAUAGAAAGUAUAGCUCACCCAAAGCUGAUAAUAUAGUAUACUUUUCACCUAAAGUUAACAUAUCGCCCGUAGGCUAAUAUAGUAUACUAAUAAUGCUCACCCAAAGCUAAUAACAAGAUAUACUACUCACCCAAAGCUGACAUAUUGCCUGUAGGCCAAUAUAGUAUGCCAGUAUACUGCUCACCCAAAGUUGACAUAUUGCCCGUAGGCCGAUAUAGUAUACCAUCCCAACCAUCCAACAUUUCCAUCAUUUUUAUCAUACCCGAUAAAAUAUCGUGUGUGGAUACACGGUCGGCCUUAGCCAAAAUAUAAUAAUUUUCAAUUCAUAAAUCCCACCAUUUCUAAUAGUCCACCAAAAUAUUUUUGGCGUUGUAAACCGACACUCGGUUAUUUUCCAAUCAAUUACGGAAAUUAAAUCAAUUUAAGAAUAAAACCCUAAAAUGCAAUUCAUGCACAAUCAGCACAAAUUAAAACUCAAUUAAAUAAACAUAUUACAUCACAGUAAUCAGCAUAAAAUUCCGAUCACCGACUAUCCUAGUCUAAUUUUCGAAAAAUAUAUAAAUAAUUAAAUAAUUACAUAAAUUAAUUAUUAAAUACCGAAAAUGCGACUUAGGCUCGAAAAAGCCUAAUUGAACGCCGAGACGGACCCGAAAAAUUUCUGAAUCACUCUAGAUAAAUACUAGAGUUUGUCUAGGCCCUAAUUGCUCUAACUAUCCACUUAAUAUGCAUCUGUAAAUAAUUAAAUUCACUAAUCUAAUCUAACUAUCCACCUAAAUAAUGCUUAACCUAAACUAAUCAACCCUUAAGCGCAUUAACCUACUAAGCGAGGAUUAAUUAGUUUUAAACUCACUUGCUCGGCGAUCCGAUGGGAUCAAAUUGAAGAGGGCGCGACGGGGGACAAUCCUCUCCAAAGCGAGCUUGGCUUCCAAGGCCGGGAACACCUCCAAAACAGGCCAAAUAGUGUUGGAAACCCUAUGUUGGCUUGCUCUUUGUUCUUGGUUGAUCUUGGGAUCGAGAAAGGCUGCUCAACAAUCGGGAGGGGCGGAAACAACAAGGUUGAACCGGCAACUGCUGCAGCGAGCCUAGCAGAUGAAAGCGGCGACGUAUGGCGGUCCACGAUGGUCUAACCGCCAAAGGGAAGACUUUGGGAUGUUGCUAGGGUAGGGGGACAUUUAAGGAACGACAGAGGACGGCGGUGCGGCAGGGUGAGGCAAGACGGCGCACGAGCGGGGCGAGGACGGCGUGCGGUGGUCCAAUGGGCAGCUACGGCGACGAGGGCUUCACGGCUGGUCUUAUCUACGGCUGAGGGGUUCGAGCAGCACAAAUGGUAGGGGAAUCAGGCUAGUCAACCGGCCUUAAGGGGGAAGAAGAGAUAGAGGAGAGGAGGGAAUAAGGGGUCCACCUCUUUCUUAUCCUCAACUUCUUGGUCCCCUUGACCAUCCACCACCACCAGCUGGUCCCAUGUCCAAAAUCAGCCACCAAGGCUCUCUUCUAGAUGCUCGAGAUGGUCCAAAUGUCGCGGGUGGUGGGGGCACGAAUUUGGCUCGGAUUUCUCUCUAAUUGGACACCAUUCCUCUUAAUUUAACACAAACCGACCUCUAUAAAUUCAAUUGACACAUCACCGAUCCAAUUGGUAUUUUUCCUCACCAAUUGAUCCCACUUGCUUCGUAAUUGCACGAUCAAAAACGGUCCCUGACAUUUUCUAGACAAAAAUUGCCCUACCUUGACUUUUUCCCAAAAAGUCUCGGUUUACAGAAAAAUCUUUUGAGACUGAGUCAACGUUCCUAAAAUGAUUUGUGACAUCACAGAAUUUUUAAUUUCUGAAAUCAGAUUCAAAUUCGCGGUUAAUUUCAAUUCGACACGAUUUUAGCAUGACCUAAGCUACCGAGUAGCUUUUAGAAAUUUUUAGUGCAAAUGACUCGUGGUCGAUUUUCUUCGAGCCACAAUGAAUCCACUUGACACAUUAGCGACUCUUGGUUGUCGUGAAAAUCUCGAGAAUUCAAAUAUGGACACAUGGUACCAAAACAAUAGAAAAAUCAGUUUAGUGUUGGUCGACGAGAAUUUUCCAAAUUAGUAAAGUCACCCACGUUUAGCCACAUAUCUCAGUCGAACCGACUUAUCUCUGAUCUCUAAUUGAUUUUGAACUAUGUCGUAAUGACCUUUAAAGAUGAGCACGGUCGAGUAGCCGAUUCCUGGUCGAAUUCUCAAGUCUAUUGAAUUAAAAUUCCUUAAUUGCUUCCCCAAAUGGUCUAGUUAUCUCAAGAAUGAUCAGCUCUGAGAAUAGCCCUAUAGGUGCGUCGAUGAAAUGCCCAAUUAAUUUAAUUGAAAGCAGAAUCGAAAUAUUCAGGAUGUCACAAGAAUAGUUACAAAAUAAAUGCUUAGUAGCUUGACCAAAUCAUAAAAAGAGAAGAAGUUUUUUUCUUUUAAUUGAAAAUUUUCAAUUAGGAUAAGAACUAAAUUGGUUGUGUAUAAAUUCAGGUCGAACUUAAAUUCUAUAAAAAUUGAUGACAUAAUAUCAAUUUUUUAGUAAAUAGAUUAUUAUCACUCAUCUAUGAGCUCAUGUGACCGUGUUUUAUGGUUAGAAGGUUGUCCUUGUCAGUUCUUUGAUAUAAAUAAGUUAAUAUAAAACCAUAAUUUGUCCCUGUAGCUUUAAACUUUUGAUGGCUAAAUAUACAAUCCUUUAAAACGAAUUAUACUCGUUGGUCUCAUACUUUUAAGAAAUAACAUAUUUUAGGGCUUUGUUACGUGGUUUUAGUAUCGCAGCUAGUUUCUAAACUAUUUUUUUUUUAAUGAAAACUCAAUUACUUUUGUCAUAUUUUCAUUCAAAAUCAUAUGAAAAUAUCAAAUCAAGAAUAACUAUCAAUUGGUGAUUUCUACAUUUAGAAAUUUGCCCAAUUACAUUGACAUUUCCAUUAACAGAUAUACUUUUAAACCUUCUAACUACAACUUUAACUCACUAUUCAUAGGCAAAAUAUUCUGGAAAUUUACCGCAAUUCUCUUGAGUCUAGCAAUCCUAAAAAGUUCGCAUCACAUUGAUUGGAAUGGGUUGUUGGAAUCGCAGGAAGGCUAUUAGGCAUCGAGGCUGUCAAAUUUCAACUCUUAAACAUUAAGUGCCUUUAGAAAAAGCUCCUUCAAUUAUUGGUAAUAAAACAACCGAUAACGAUUAUAAACACUUACACACAUAUAAAUGUGAUGUAUCAAAUUGAUAAUUCGCAUCAUUUAAAUUUUAGUUGAAAUGGAAAUGUGAAAAAUUGUACUUAAGAUCCCAUCGUGAAUGGUACACAUACUAAUAUUGCAGCAAAAACAAAGUAGAAGAACAAAGAGCCCAUUUACUGUACAUUUUAGUGUCAAAAGUUUCAAAAAGUAUAAGUAUUAAAAUAAUAGGAAAAUUGAAUAUUUAAAUGCCAAUGGUGAGAAAUUCCGGCCAAAUUGCUAACGUGGCAUUCUUCCGGCGAGAGGAGUGCAAAAUGACAUUGUGCAAUGAAGUGCUCCGACUUGUAUGUUUGGUAAUAUCUAUUAUAAAAUUACGACAAACCUAACAAUUGGGUGGGAUAACUUUUAAAUAGCUGUUAUAACGGUAGAGAUGUUGCGGCUAUAAGGUGAUUGUCAACCACCGUGUAAAGAUUGCGACACCUAUUUUCACAGUUAAAGCUGCAAUGAUGAAAAUGUACAAAAAAUAUAAUGAAUUAGAAUACUCUGAAAAGUACAAGGACUAAAAUGGUGAUUUGCAUUUAGAGGCUUAUAUAUGGAGGAGCCACAUGACAUACUAAUAUUGAUUAAACAAUUUUCAACAAAUUUUAAAUAGAAAUUUGAUAAAAAGAAUUAAAUUAUCAUGCCAGAAUAGUGUGAUUAGAAUCAUAAUCAAAGAAAGAAAAAGGGUCAAAAGUAUUCUUCCAAAUAUAUAGGUUCCAGGAAUGUAAUUAUUCUUGGAAUUAAUUAUGGAUCUAGUGUCAUUUGUUGCUGUUGAUAUCUCCAAGAAUAAUUUGUCUCGAAGAUCGGGUGCUAUUUCGACCCACAGCUGGGUGCUAUUUCGAAUCCUUCUUAAAUCAAUGCCUAGAGCUCAUUUGAGCGUGGUGGGGGAGAUGGAGCCCGCGCCCGCGUGGGGCUUUACCCGUUUCUAUCCCCACGGCAAAAACGGCAAGACCUCUCUCAUGAAUGAGAAAGUAGGGAAAAGUGUUAAAAAAUUCCUAAACAUUUUGCAUUUGUGCCAAUUUAGUCCUAAACCUUUUUACGUUGUGCUAAUUCAAUCAUUUCCGGUUAAUUUUGGCCGAAUUUUGCUAACUGGACGCAGGCCUACUGAUAUGGCCAGAUUGGUGCUGACGUGGACAAUUUUUAAUAAUAUAUUAAUAUUUUUGAAUUUUUGAAUUUUAUUUUUUUAUUUAUUUUUACUUCUCCUCCUUCUUCCUCCAGCCAGUCACCAGACCUUGGUGACUGACCAAAGGCGACAGCCAGCGAGGUCAAGGUUGAGUCUCGACGCCCAACGCGAGGUUGCCCUCGCGGCCAUUGGCAAGGUCGACCUCCACCUCGCCGGCCGUCGCCUCUGGUCGGCCGCCGAGGUCCAGCGACCGGCUGGAGGAAGAAGGAGGAGAAGAAAAAAAGAAAAGAAAAAAAUUCAAAAAAAUGAAAUAUAUUAUUAAAAAUUGUCCACGUUAGCGCCGAUCAGGCUACGUUAGCUGGCUGGCGUCCAGUCAGCAAAAUCUGGCCAAAAUUGGGCAGAACAGACUAAGUUGGCACAACAUAAAAAGGUUUAGGACUUAAUUGGCACCAAAAAAUAGUUUAGGACUAAAUUGGUAUAAAUGCAAAAGGUUUAUGACUUUUUUUAACACUUUUCCCUGAGAAAGUAUGUAUAUGUAUAUACCACCUUCUUCACUAAGGCUUCUAGUUCCCCCUACCCCAAAAAAAAUCCCAACAAAACAAAAACAAGAACCAAAACAAAAAUAGUAAAAAAGAAAAAAGUUCAUCUGCUCGGGCAAAUAAAAAGGCAUUUCAUAUUUUCCCGAAUCAUUUCGAUAUCCUUCUUGAGAGUCGGACUUUGGAAGAGAAAUUACAGGCAGAGUCGAUUAGGGCAAAGAAGAGAUGCAUUGUCUCGUUCUUGGCAACCCUUUCGUGGCGCUUGUCGCACCGAUCCUUCUCGUUGUGCUCGCGCACAAGCUUUGGAGUAAGAGGAGAGCAACUGCGCAAAGAAACAAGAAAGAUCUGCAUCCUGGUACGCCUAGUCCUCCGAUCCAGCCCAACGGAAACGAUUUUGAUGUGUUCUUGAGCUUUAGAGGUGUAGAUACUCGAAACGGCUUCAUCGACCACCUCUAUUGCAGCCUCAUCGGUGCUAGAAUCUGUGUCUUCAUGGACGACAAUGAACUCCGCUUGGGUGAGGGAUUGAGCGAAGAGCUUAGGCAAGCCAUUAGUAACAGCAAUAUUUUGAUCCCUAUUAUCUCUGAGAAUUAUGCCUCUAGCAAAUGGUGCCUUCAAGAAUUGGUUUGCAUGAUGGAGUGCCGAAAACAAUGGGGACACAAAGUGUUUCCCAUAUUCUACAAAGUGGAACCCGCGGGGGUGCGAUUUGAAAUGGGUUGUUUUAGAGAGGCAUUUCAUAAUUACAAGCGGAGGUGUUUUGACCCAGAGGUUGUGGCCAAAUGGAAGGAAGCGCUUGUAGAAGUCAGUUCCUUGAGUGGAUGGGAAUCAGAGAAAUUUGCUAAUGGGUAUCUUCAUUCUUUAACCAACACCUUGUUUACUUUGAUGAUAUCAACACCAUACAAUCUUUUUUUUUUUUUUUUUUAUGGAUCCGAUUCAUUUGUUUUGAUGAUGAAAGUUUUUGGCUGUAAUAUUUUGCCUUCCUUUAUGCAAGGAUUAUCUAACUUAUAUUUUUGCUUAUUUCUACCUACAUAAAGGCAGCAUUACUGUGUUUACAUUUAUGAAUAAGAUUUGGAUAAUUAAGAUGACUGACGCCUCUAAAAGAACCAAAAAUAAAUAAAUAAAAGGAAGAAGGAGGAGAAAAACAAACUGCUUUUAAAGCUUCAUUAGCCUCAAUCUUUUUUCUAAUAGAAUACGUCAGGGUAAUCUUAAAAAGAAGUUAUGAGUGCAUCUUCUGGAGCAAUCACGGGAUUGCUUUACCCCCUUUCAUCUUAACAAAUAAAAUAGGAAUGGAAGUGGGGAAAAGAUUUGAAAGUUUUCCAAAUUACCCCCAAGUUCUAUUGUUUGUGCUAUCGUUAGAUAAUACUUAUGUCAUUGAACUCAUUUUCAUUUGACAGGAGAGAAGGAGAAUUGGUAAAAUCGGUUGUGCAAAAAGUUUUGAAAGAUUUGAAGGAGUUGGUUGCUGAUGAUUAUUUGGUCAGAAUUGAUAGUCCUGUGGAGGAGGUUAUGGAAUUGGUGAACAAGAAUGCUAGUGCUACCCUGUGUGUGGGAAUUUAUGGAAUUACGGGCAUUGGUAAGACUACUCUUGCUAAAGUCAUAUACAAUAAGCUGUCUGAUCUAUUUGUGCAUCGUAGCUUCAUUGCAAACAUCAGGGUAUCGUGCGAACGUCAUGGUAUUAAUUACUUGCAAAAUCAAUUAAUCUUUGAUAUGCGGAAAAGAGAAAUUCAAUUUUGCAAUAGCGACGAAAGAAUCAAGUAUAUCUCGUCUUGGUUUAAAGAUGAGAAAGCCUUCAUUAUUCUUGAUGACGUGGAUACCACUAGUUAGUUAGAGGCUUUGGCUGGAAAUCCUUACUGGUUUGGCUCAGGAAGUAGGAUCUUUGUUACCACUAAAAACGAGAGUGUUCUUGAUAGAGUGAACAUCAAGUCCAAGCGUGAGCAAAUGCAUGAGAAGCAAUCUCUUGUCCUAUUUUCUAGACAUGCAUUUCGAAGAGACCAUCUUCCAUAUGAAUUUUUAGCUCUCUCAAGUCUUGUGGUAUCUACAAUGGAAGGGAUUCCCUUGGCUGUCAAGUUUGUAGGUUCAAUUUUGUGUGAAAAACCAUCACGAAUAUGGAGAGAAACAAUACGAAAGAUGCAAAAUAUGCCUCAUAUGGGCGUGCAAGAAAAGUUCAGGAUAAUUUGUGAAGAAAUGGGGGAGGAUCGAAAAAAUGCGGAAGAUGCAUCUUCCGCUGCUACGCCUUGUCCUUCCAUCCUGCCAAGUGAAAGCGAAAAUGAUUAUGAAGUGUUCUUGAGUUUUAGGGGUGUAGAUACUCGAAGAGACUUCAGCGACUACCUCUACUGCAACCUCGUUGAUGUUGGAAUCCGUGUCUUCAAUGACGACAAUGAGCUCCGUGGGGGCGAGAGUUUGAGCGAAGAUCUUAUGCGAGCCAUUAGGAAUAACAAUAUUUUGAUCCCAAUUAUCUUUGUGAAUUAUGCUUCUGGCAAAUGGUGCCUUAAUGAACUUGUUGAAAUGAUGAAGUGCAAGAAUUGCUUAGGGCACAUAGUGUUGCCUAUAUUCUACAAAGUGGAACCUGCGGAUGUGCGAGAUCAAAAGGGUCAAUUUGGAGAGGCAUUUCUGUUAGAUGUAUGCCCUAUUGCUGCUAUGUAAUAUUUACAUAUUAGGAAUUUCAAUUGUACUUUUAUUAUUAUUAUUUAAUUAAUGGCAAUGACGUAUUCAUUCAUUUGUCCAAUUAUUUUAUAUUGAUGAAUGAUUCCAUAAGAUCAGUUGCAACUAGAUCUAUUCUUGAAAUGUCAAGAAUAUAUGUGACGGGUUCAUAGUUAGACUGAAUCUUUAAAUCGUUCCCGGUCGAUGGAUUAUUGAGGGGAUAUUAAUAAUCAUGUUGAGACCGGUGUGUUCUUAACUUCGCCAUUAAGUAUUGGAUACUUAAGGGAAUGAUGAGUCACAUGUCAUUGGGUAUUAUGAUGCCUGAGUUAGAACACAGGUGUUUGUAUUAGAGAAAUUCACUGAACGUGACGCAUAUGGAACGAUUAGUGACAUGGAAGCUUUUAGCGUGGUCAAUGUCUAAUUGUUUUUUUUUUUUUUGUAAAGGUAAUAAAUAUAUAAAUAAAGCUAAGGCAAAAUACAAAAGAUCAGCACCAAAAACCUACACUCAAUCCUCCAAAGGAGACAAAGUGUAGGGGAGCCAAUGUAAGAAGCCACAAAGGCACACAAGAAAGCCACAAGGGCACAUCAACAAAACAAACAAGCGGGAAAGAGAUAACAACAAGGCAUUCCAACCCUCAGCCCCCCAAGGAAGCGGCUAAGAACGGAGAGCCAAGAAAGAUAGGAGCAACUUGCGCAAAGCAGCAACAAAGGAGCACUAGACAGCCAAGAGAAACACCGCAGGGUCAAACCCCUAGCCACGCUGAAGCCUCAUAUUCCUCGGGGUAGGAGGAACAUCUUUAAAUGUUAUAGCUUUAUCCCUCACUACCUUAAUAAGGUGGUUUUUUAGAGCCGAGACCACUAAGGAUUCACCCCGAAAUAUAAUCGCAUUCCUCCUUUUCCAAAUAAGGUGACACAUAGCUCCAAACGAGAACCGCGCAAUGCAAUGGAAGAAGUCCUUACCGGAUAAGAACUUUAAGGCCCAAUUGAAGAUAUCUUUCCAACAUCUAUUCCGCCAUGGGAGGUUACACUUGGUGGCCUAAAAGUAGGCCAGAGAAGCGGAGGUGCGACACCCGAAGAAUAAAUGUUCGACAGAAUUUGGAACAUCAUUGUAGAAGGCACAAACAUUAUAGUCAAUCCUUCCAUAAGAAAGAAGUAGCAUCUGAGUCGGCAGGCGAUUUUUGGUUAUAAGCCAUAAAUUAAAUUGGAAUCGCAGGGCUACAGCAUUGUCCCAAACAAAAGACGCCCAAUCAACACGAUCCUUCUUGACUUUAAUGGAAUUCCAAGCUGAAGUUACAGAGAAGGAUUCAGAAGUGUCACAGCACCAGGUAAACCUGUCACGAGCCGAAGAGAGGACCGGGAGAGAGAUCCCCUAUCUUUCCAAAAAGGAUUUAAAUAAACAACCCAUAGAGGUCAACAGAUCCGCAACAACAGCAUUGUCAGGAAGACAUAAGCCUUCACAGAAUGAACAGGGGAUAAAGGCAUCAAGCGGGCCACAAGAAAGCCAGUGAUCAUGCCAAAGAGAUACUGAUAGGCCAUUUCCAAUCUUCCACACAAAGGAUAAGCGAAAGUAAUUCCUCAGUUGAAGGAUUUUUUUCCAUGCCCAAGAACAAUAACGAGGCUGGGAAGAAAUCCAAAAGUUUCUUUUCUUUAAGAAGUUAGAGUGUACCCACCAACACCACAACGAUUCUUUAUCAGUGAAAAGAAUCCAAAUAAAUUUAAGCAUGGAGGCUCUGUUGCAAUCUUUAAGUUUCUGAAUGCCUAGACCGCCCUCAACCUUUGGGAGACAAACAUCAUCCCAGGAGACUUUGGCCCCACCCCGGCUAAGGGUCGUGUCCUUCCAUAAAAAUUGUCUCAAAAUGCGCUCAAUAUUAUCUAUAACCGAGGACGGAAGGUUAAAGACACUAGUCCAAUAUGCUUGAAUUGAAAAGAGUACUGACCUUAUAAGUUGCAGCCUCCUUGCAAAGGAUAGAAAGCGUUGUGCCCAAGAUUGAACCCUGGCAGUAAUACGAUCCGUCAAUGCAACACAGUCUGCUUUGCCCAAUCUAGUAGUAAUAAUCGGAACACCCAAAUAGCGAAUCGGCAGUUUCCCUUCCUGAAAACCGAAGGCCCAUUGCAUCAUAUUACGAAGAGAUGAAUCCCCUCCUAAGAUGAAGAUCUCACUUUUUUUUUUUUAUUUGGGUAGAGGCCGCUCCAAGAGGAGAAAAUGUCCAAACCCCUUUUUAACAACGUCACCGACUCCCAAUCAACUUGACAGAAAAGGAAUACGUCAUCGGCGAAAAAUAGGUGAGUCAGCUGCACAGAUUUGCAUCUCCAAAAAUAUUUAAAGUCAUUGCUAGCAGUACAGGAGAGCAAGAUUCCAGAGAAAAUUUCCAUAACUAAGGUAAAUAGGUAAGGUGACAUAGGAUCGCCUUGCCUAAGUCCUCUUCUAGUAGGGAAAAAACCACGUAAAUCACCAUUGAUAGAGAUGGAAUAUUUCGGCGUACGUACGCAAACCAUAAUUAGCGUAAUAAUCCAAUGGGGAAAAUAGAAGGCACGGAGAGCAAGCUCCAAGAAAUCCCAAUCAACCGUGUCAUAGGCCUUAUGGAAAUCAACUUUAACAGCACAUUUGGGCAGAUAAGGCUCUAAGUGAAAUCCAGCAAACAACUCUUGAGCGAUGAGAAUAUUAUCUCUAAUCUUCCUACCCUUUACAAAAGCAUUUAGUGAAGGGCUUAUCAAAUCAUUUAAGACAGCAGCAAUGCGAUUAGCAAGGAUUUUCGUAAUGACUUUAUAAAUGGUAUUGCAACAUGCAAUAGGCCUAAAAUCAGUGACCACACUUGCGUUGGGGACUUUAGGAACUAGAGCGAGGAUAGUGGUAUUUAAUUUCUUUAGGAGCAAUCCCGAAGAGAAGAAAUCUUGGAUUGCUUCCACCACCAACAGCCCCACUAAGUUCCAAUUAGUCUUGUAGAACUCUACCGAGAAUCCAUCAGGACUUGGUGUCACGACCUCUUUUUUUCCGUCCGGAGAAAAAAGAAGAAGGUUUAGGGGUAUUUUCCUAAAGAAGCGGACCAAUGGCCUUAAAUUAGGCGCGAGCUCUCCCAAGCCCAUACCUCGCGCGACGUUGGAUUUCAUAUUUCAAUUAUUAACAACCUAAAUAUUUCUAGGAGUCGCCACUAGCCUAUUGGGGUCGGCUAGAAACGAAUCGAGACACGGGAGUGGUGUCUCGAUUCCUACGCAACCAGAGAUUUCUAGGAACGGGGACUUGUUUACGCCAAUGUUUCUAUUAGCGCCCUUGCGGUACCACUAACUUGGAAAGUUAUUUUUCUAAAUGGCCACACAUUCUUGAUUACCAAUUAUAAUCUUUAUGAAACCACUAAGUGUCCAUGCAAAUGUUUUUGUAGUUUUUUUUUUAAUGUCUAGACUAAUCCUAACAUAAUUUAGAAGAGAAAUUUACACUCAAAUUAAUGAAAAGCGGCGCGUAAGUAAACAUCCAAGAAAUUGAAAUAACUUGAAAAUAAACGUGGAAAAGGUAAACCCGAUACAAGUCGAGCAAAUAAUAUUACAUGGCCUUGUUAUCACGCCCCGGGACAUGACCCCCAUGAGCAAAUGAGAAUUUAAAUAUGCAUGAAAUUACUCUAAAUGCAUGAAAUUACUCUAGAUAAUUAUAAUCUAUGCAAAAUGGAUUAUUUGUAAAAAUGAUCAUAAAAUACCAAAAUAGUAUUAAAUUAUGAAAAUGACCUUUUAAAAAUAGGAAAAUUUCAUAGAUGCCAUUUUUGCCUUAAUUUGAUACAUCUAUAGCUUUUAUAUUUUUUUUUGAAAUUUUUGGAUUUUUGGAUUUUUUUUUUAUUUUUUUAUUUAAAUAAAAAUAAUAAUUUCCUAAACCGAUAUAUGCUAACAUUGAACAACACAGCACAUGAAUAUCACAAUAACCGGGCUCAAAUCGACCGUUUCAAGAUCGAAACUUAGUUUGCACAUUUCGUUAAAUACUUGGCGUGCAUCAAAUCACCCCAAACCAACUUCCUCGGGCCAUGUUUGCGGCCUUCAAUCUCAACACAUGAGCAAUAUUAUGUGGAACUAAAACAUCAAGGUUAAACUACCACAUGCAAAGAGUAAGAUUAGAUAUAAAUCACAGCUUAAAACACACGAAAACCAAAUUGGAAUCGUCAUCAAAUAUGCGGGUUUGAUCUGAUUUUACAAAUCUGGAUUUGAACCCAAGUCAAGCAAACAGGUUGAAUGCCCAUAUUCAAGCCCCGUCACCCAUCACAUAUGAGAUCUAAGGAAAACAUUACUUGAUUCACAUGAAAGUAGGUAACAUGAGUUUUCAAAUGCAACAAACAUCAUAGAAAAUGACUCACCGAACAACAUCAAAACAACCUCUCCAAGAAGCACACAUGCAAAACUCUUGAAGAGAUUUCAAACACUUAGAAAAAUUUCAGCCUCAGAAAUCAGUUUUCCGGGCUGGUUUUCCUCUUGAUUUUCAUGAUCAAAACAUGCUCAAAAUCGAAAAUAAAUACAUCUAGGACGCUUACCUUGCUUCCUAGUUUCCUUUUCAAUUGGUUCUUGGCCGAUGAAACCGACAAAUUAUCCUUGGGGGCCUGUGGAAGUUGGCUUCUUCAACUGGAAAUGAGAUCUGCAAAAAAAAGAACUGACAACGAAGGUUUUCGUUGAGCUCUAACAUUAGACUUCAAGACGUAUUUUGUUGGAAAAAUUGACACCACGCCAAACUAUAUGUAUUCUAGUUUGGAUUAAAAUUCAAUAUUUUCCUCAUUUGUCUCUCAACUUUCUCAAAAACACUGGAUUUCCUCACUCGUGACCAAACAGUCUCGACACUUAGAAAAAAUUUUGGACUUUCUUGGCCCGCCAGGAGGGCACUGUUUCGGGGGGCUUUAGGAGGCCUUCCCGAUCUCCAUUUUGGACGUGCGACCUAUGGAUGGAAAGAUAUUUGAGUGAAGUUUCACUCUCUAGUUUAAGGUUUUGGCUAAUUUUGGCUGCAAGUUUUCGAAAAUCUCACUUUUCUCUCAGAAGGUUGAUCUGGAAUUUCUGGGUUUGCUUUUCUGGAGUUGCUUCUGAGGGCCUCUUUGGGGGACGAUUCCGAGCUCUCUCCUCUUUCUCUCGUCUCCUCUCUCUCUUCCCUCGAAAUACCUUGCUUCCGUGAUAUUAUCCCCUGAAUUAGAGAAUUUUUGGUCGGCCUUUUGUCCACCUACCAAGCCUGUCAACUGACCCAGCUCACCAACUUUCUGACUUAGCCAAAAUUUUCAAAUUUCGCAGCUGUUGAGUGUCCGGAUUUUGUGCGAUUUUCCCGUGCCUGCAGCAGCUUAUCUCUGACCAAUUCUUGUCCACUUUCAGUACCAAUGAUGGUCUUCCAUCACGUGCAGAGAUCGGGCUGGCUGGGCAGGUGAGGAGGAUAUGGUGGGGCCACCAAUAUGCCUACUUAGCAGCUCCGAAUUAAGACCUAAUCAUGGGCUGGGUUUUGGUAACUAGUUUGAGUGCUUUAAUCCAUUAAUUUGGCUGUGGUUUUUGAUCAAUUAGCAAGUAAAUGUAUAGUAGUUUAAGAUCUCACCCAGAUUUUGCAAUUGUGCCCACCCAAUUUUGCAAGAAAGUCCCUCAAACUUAGCAAUUUUCUUAUCCGAAAAUACCCAACCCAAGGCAGAUUUGGUCUUUUUCGCUCAAUUUGAUUGAUUCGAGUUGGCCCAAAUUCAAUUUCCACUUAAUUGGUGACCAAGAUGAUGAUUUACGGGCUCGGGCGCAAAUUUUGCAAAAUUUGCAAAUUGAUCCCUCAACUUUUGGAAAUUGCAUUUUGGCCCCAACUUACCAUUUGAAUUCCAAUCUAACCUCCUGGGCUUGGCUAGUCACAUUUAGAUCAUUGGCCCCAACUUUUUUUCUUUUCUUUUUUUAAUCUCUUUUUUUUCAAUUUUCUUUUAAAGUAAAAACAUAUUCCAUUUAAAACACUAUAUUAAAUGCCUAAAUAAUCUAUAUGCAAGAAUUUAACACGAAAUAUUUUUGGGCAAAAAUUUAGGUGUCAACACCUGGGGCUUUGCCUUUGGCAAGGGAGAAUAGAGUAUUCUUAAUCUCAGAGGGAGAAACCGACUCACAUAGGGACCGCACCUGAGCAUCAGUAAGUGGGUGACGAACAAACGUCUUCAAAUCCUGAAGCGAAGGUUUAGAUAAAGGCUCAUGAUGAGAGAGCAAAUUCGAGAAAAACCGGACAAAAACUUGCGGCACAAUAACAAGAUCAGUGAUAACAGCCCCCGACUGAUCCUUGACGGAAAGGAUCCUAUGAGUAAGCUGCCUCCUCUUCAUCGAAUGGUGGAAAAACUUAGUAUUCCUGUCACCUUCUUUUAGCCAUCUCACUCUCAACUUUUGUCUGAAGAAGGAUUCUUCUUGAUUCCUCAGAUCAAUAAAAACACAACGCUGAGAUUUUUCCAACUCAGCAAGAGAAAUGUUGUAAGGGUCCGAUUGAAGGCUAACCUUAGUGCUUCGAAGGGCCUCUCUUGCUUCGGCCGUCCUCAUAGAGAUAUCCAAGAAGGCGUCUUGGUUAAGUAACUUGAGUCGAGCUUUCACAAUUUUCAGCUUGGAAACAAGAAUCUACAUUGGAACGCCUGUGAUGGAGGAGUCCCAAGCCUGGCGGACAAUUGAGUUAAAGUCCGGGUGGUCAGCCCAAAAUUCAAAGUACUUAAACGGCUUCCUCCUCUGGACCGGCUAAAGAACUGUGACGAUCAUAGGAGUAUGGUCCGAGAUACUCGGGUUCAAAAACGAAGCCUCAGAGAACGAGAAAUGAAGGUUCCAAUUGUUGUUAACCAGAACACGGUCCAUCUUCCUCAUCUUCCUGAUGUCCCCUGCCGAGGUAGACCAAGUAUAACGGAGGCCAACAUAUCUAAGAUCCAUCAAUUCUGUUUGUGCUAAGCAUUGGGCAAACUCAUCAAAAUAAGGGAUCCAGUCAUUGGAACCUCCAACUCGAUCGGAUGGGUCUUUAAUGGCGUUGAAAUCACCAGCAACAAGCCAAGCCGAAUCCUGCAUCAAGUCAUUGAAGUGGAGGAGGUCCUCCCACAAAGGUUUAUGACGCACAAAAGUAUGUUCUCCAUAAAUAGCAGAGAUGCAGCAGCUCACACCAGACAUAUUAAGCUUCAGACUACCAUGCACAGCCUGGUCAUUGAUAGAAAUAGGCACAAAAGAAACAAAAUUCGGGUUCCAACCAACCCAGAUUCUACCACGAGAAGAAUACUCAUAGUUUGCUAUCCAAUUCCAACCACUAAUUAAGGAAGCCGAGAUAGAAUCAAAAUGUUCCUCAGGAACUUUAGUCUCAAAAAGGCCAAUCAGGCAGAGUUUAUUAAGAGCGGCAAAUCUCCUGACCUCCGCCUGCCUAAGAGGGUUGACCAUGCCUCUGAUGUUCCAAAAGCCAAAAAACAUAUCAAAAAGGAUAGAUGGCAGAAUUACCUCUUCUUAGCCCUGUGGCCUGUGGCAGGCGCUUUUGAAACCGCCGAGGGUGGUGGGUCAGGAAGAAGCAAGAGGAGCUAUUCUUGCAUACUUCGAGCACCAGCCGGAGCCGGGCCUUUUGGCGAAAGGGAACCCACAGACAAAACAUCUUCAUCAUUCAAUUCCAUUUGAGUACUAGAGUUGCAAAUUUCAUCCGAGCUUCCAACAUGAAAUGAAGAGGAGGGAGCAUCUCCUUCACCUGCCGGGUAUAGACCAAAAGAGGCAGCUUCCUUCUCAGCAUGCUUUUUCUUUUUCCUGCCUUUCCCCUUCACCUGCUUCCAUUCUGGAUCGGCAGCAGGAGCUGAGGACAUAGCCACCAAUUCACCCUCGGAUGGUCCUGGUGGAGCCGCUUGGGGAGAGCUCGACUCCCCCAAUAAGAAAGGAUUUGUUAGCAUUCGCACCAGCAAGAGGAUCUGUAGAAGCUAACCCAGGUUGGGGGUUGUGUGGGAUAUCACCAUCAUGUGCGGAUGAGGGCGGUAAGGCCACUUCUUUUUCUUUGGACAACGUAGAAGUAGCUUCAGGAUUCGCCUUAGAGGUUCCUGCAUUCAUUACUCCAGCAGAUGCACCAGAAGCAGAAGCAGGAACAACAUCCUUGCAGGUAUGACCGAAUAUACCACAUUUGAGACAAGCUAGCGGUUUCCAUUCGAACUCCACUUCGACAACAUCAGUUUUCCCAUCCGUGAUCAGAUCAAUAGUCUCAUAAAUUGGUUGUUGUACUGUUAAUUCCACACAUACACAAGCAAAUGAUAGCAUAGACAUCUGUUAUGUUCUCUAGUCCACAUACAGUGGCCUACCAACAGCACUCGCCACUUUGCUAAUUGACUGAGCAGACCAGUAAGCGAAGGGGAGAUUUCUCAGCCUUACCCAUACCGGGACAGACACGUGCGUGUCUUUCUUCAGCUCAACUCCCGGUUGCCAUUGCUAUAAGAUAAAGGGGAUUCUUGCCACAGUAAUGGGACCACCCUCCAGAAUUUUCCUCCUGAAUUCCUUAUCAGCAAUACGCAGAAGAAACACUCCUCAACCAUCGGAUAGAACUUCCAACAAAGGCGGCCCCCAGGCUCUCCUAAGGGCCUCCUCCACAACCUUGAACGGUAGUUUCCUACCGAUAAAAUAACCAACAAGGCAGUCAUAUAUGGCAUCCCAGAAAUUCAAAGCCAAGCCUUAAGGUGUGUUAAAGUCUUUAAUUAGGUGUUAAAUUUCCAUGGCUUAUGUUUUAGCCAUUAGUCUUUUAAUUCGAUGAUUUGUGCUUGUGAUUGCGGAAAUUUAGAUUUAAUAGAUUAAUAAUCUAUGCUUGGCCAUAUGAUUUAAAUUUCAAUGAGCAAGAAUAUCCCAAGACUUUGGCCAAGAUGAAAAUUGGAAUUCAAAAAUAUUUAUAAAAGAAUUUCAAAAAAAAAAAAAAAGGAAAAGGAAGGUUAUUUUCGAAAUGGGCCUUGGGCCCAUUAGCCUAAAGCUUGGUGGGCCAAGCUAAUCGGCCCAUUAGAGCCCAAGAGGAGAAUUCGACCAGCCCAAGGGGAAUGGCCGGAUGGGCCUAAGCCCAAGCCCAUUCAAAUUCAAAUUUAAAACCCAAUAUGACAAGUGGCAAAUGGCAAGAGCAUGCAUUGGUGGGUUUGUAGGCAAAGCAAUGAUUGUUAAUCAUGGGAUUAGGGGAGUAUAAAAGAGAUGAGGAGAGAGAGAUGGCCGGUUCUUUGCUUCAUUUUGUCCAAAGAGAGGGUGUGCGAGAGAGAGAGCUCGAGAGAAAGGGAGAAACCGAGAGGGGAAGGAGGCGGAGCCGAGGGGUGCCGCUGUUCGUUCGCCGUCCGAUCGCCGUGUCCCGUCGCCGUUCGUCGUUGCUUGUUCAUCUUUAAGGCAAGUGGAGUCCGUAACUUCUCUUGCAUGUUUGUUGUGGUGUUUGCAUGUUAGAUUUUAGGUAUGAUUCGUGCGAAAGACCGAGGUAAGAGUUGGUUAUUUGUAAACCGUGUGACUGUUCUUGUUCGGUUUGCUGGAGUCAGUAGCUUGUUUGAGUUUGCAUGUGUGUUUGGAGUCCAAUUUUGGAUUCGGUGUCUUCAUUAAAGUUGAAGCUAACGUUUUGUACUAUGACAUACUAAAAAUUCGUAGAAAACGAUGGAGAUUUGAGGGGUCAAAAGUUCUAUUGUACGGAGACUUUAGAUCUGCGAAAUCUUCACUGACCUCUUGUUGAUUUCUUGGUUGCAUGUUGAUUUUUGUUGGAUAUUUCACUUUGAUGUCUUCUUGAAAGUUGUAGGUAACACAUUAAAAUACAACAUACUCAAAUUUGAAGAGAAAUGAACGAGUAUAGCCUAGUGAAUCUGCUAGAUCUUGGAGAUGAUGUAUUCUGGUGAAGUGUACCGAGACAGACGAGACUUUAUGGACUAAAAUGGUGACCAUAAUCUGGUUAUUUGGCAUAUAUUUCUUCAUGAAAAUUGUAAAGGACACCUUGGUACAUAACAUACUAAAAUUUCAGAGGAAAAUAAAGAGAUUUUAUGGGUGAGAUCUACAAAUUUCGGAGAAGUGUGUUCUGGACGUCGCGGUCGUGGUUCCAGAAGCUUCGUAGGGUUGUAGAAAUUAAUAUAAAAAGAAUUUGGCGUAGGGUUCUUCAUGAAAAGUGCACGAAAAUGUGUUGGCUAUCACCCUGUGAAAUUUCGUAAUUUUUGAAGGCCAUAUGAGUAUUUUAAUCGAAUUUAUUUGGAAACUGUGCAAUUCUGGUCAUUAUCCGAAUAUCAUGUGCUAUUUUGUGAAAAUUGUGAAAUUAGGUGAAAUUCAAUUUGGCCAUGAAUUUUGUUUGGAAUUGGGAUUUUAAUUGGUUGUUUAAUGAUUUUUUGAAUAUUAUGAUUUUGGGAAAAUCAUAGAUAUUAAAUUUAAGAUUUAUUUAUGAAAAUAAAUAAAUAUAAUAAAAUAAUAAUAAAAUAAUAAUAAAAUAAUAAUAAAAUAAAAUGGAUUUUAUUUUGGCCAUGGAUUAAAUUCUAUUUGUGUGGCAUAUGUGUGAUGAGGUCUUUGCACAUGUAUUGGAUUGAGCUGUAUAUGUGAUAAAGUCUUGGUAUGCGUAUGACAUGGUCCUUGUACAUGUAUUGAAUUGAGAUGUGUAUGGGAUAAAGUUUUGGCAUGUGUACGACAUAUGAAUUGAGAUGCAAGUGUGAAUUCCAUGUCAAGUGUGACUUGUUUGAUACCAUGCCAAUUGCCAUGUUAAAUUGAGAUAAAGAAAUGGUAUAUGUGGAUGAUGGUAAAUGAGUAAGAGGUUGUGGUGGAGGAUGUUGUCUGGUGGCCUGGUGGCGUAAUUCCAGAGAUUCCCUGGGAGUUUCAGGAUGCCCGGAAUGUGGGGGGCCGGAAGCCUUGUUGGAGGUCUUUGCCCGAAAGGAAUGCCUCGCGAUGCCAGGAUUUGGGGUGCGGGAUGCUCGGCCAGGGAGUGUAAAUGCCGGAAGCCCUGUCGGAGGUUUCUGCCCGAAGGGAAUGCCUCGUGAUGCUAGUUGAGAUGCGAGAUGCCUGGACUGUGGGGGGUCGGAAGCCCGGUGGUCAUGGGAUGGCUGGAAAGCUGGGAGCCCUGUCAGAGGUUUCUGCCCGAAGGGUUGAUGAUGAGAUUGAUGAUUUGAGAAAUUGGUGAUGUGGUGAUCAAAAUUGAAAGAUAAAGAUGAAAAUUAACUCAUGACAUGAUGAUGCAUGAUGACGAUGGCAUGUGAUGUGAUAUGAUGAUCACCUAUGAUGAUAUAUGCAUGAUGAUGCAUGAUGAUGAUGGCAUGUGAUGUGAUAUGAUGAUCACCUAUGAUGAUAUAUGCAUGAUGAUGCAUGAUGAUGAUGGCAUGUGAUGUGAUAUGAUGAUCACCUAUGAUGAUAUAUGCAUGAUGAUGCAUGAUGAUGAUGGCAUGUGAUGUGAUAUGAUGAUCACCUAUGAUAAUAUAUGCAUGAUGAUGCAUGAUGACGAUGGCAUGUGAUGUGAUAUGAUGAUCACCUAUGAUAAUAUAUGCAUGAUGAUGCAUGAUGAUGAUGUGUGAUGUGACAUGAUGAUCAUUCAUGGUACGAUAUGCAUGAUGAAAUGCAAGAUGAUGAUAAUGAUAUAUGAUAUGCCAUGAUGAUGAUGAUAUAUAUGAUGUGAUGAUGCAUGAUACGCAUGAUUACAAGGUAAGUGAUGCUUGCAACGUGUGAUGAUAUGCAUGAUGCAUUGGAAUGUUAUUGGAUUUCCCUAUCUGCUGAGUGGUUGUACUCACCCCUUUUGGGGAUAACAUUUCAGAUUAGAAAGAUGCCGCUUCCUACCGUCACGCGAGGCACCUUCUAUGGUAUCCCGUCAGAUAUAGAAGUAGAUUGUACGGAGAUCGACUGCGUCACUAUCCCUGGACUGACAUUUGUGCGAGUACGUGUGCUGGUCAUGUACGACGUGGGCCUGGCUGAGGGCCCAGUCAUCCAGGAGUUUUUGUCUGUUCAUGUCCGCCGAGACGGAGUGAUUAGGGGGAUGUUGCCGCCACCACCACCCGAUGCACCUGGAUGGGUGUGAUGGUUGUGUGAAGGGUAAAAAGCUAGUGUCAUCUUUUUGGGAGUAGCCGCCACUGUUGGAUGGGGGAUGUCAUGUGAUUUUCUUUAGGGGUCGUAGUAUCUUUUUGGGAUGAGGCUAAGUGUGGCUAAAAAUCUUGGUCUCCUUUUUGUAUCGACCCGUGAAAAACCCAUCUCGAUAAUAUGUAAAUAAAAGUGGCAUGGCUUAUAUUUUAAAUCCUGAUGAUUAGUGGUGUGUAUUUGUAUCAUGGAUUGGUAGGGGGAUAGAUGGUGAUGUUUAAUUUGCUUCCGCUAUGAGUCGCGUUAGGACCGAUUGUUUAAAAAAAAAAAAAUGUGUCUGCAAAUUAGGACGCUUGCUUGAAAGAAAGAAAGGUAAUAAAGUGUAACAUCGGCACUGGUAACGACCUGCGAAGGGUUCGGGGUGUUACAUCAUAAAGCUUAGGAUCAGCUGCCUGUAGAUCAGAUUCAUCCAUAUGUAUGACAAGUUUAUUGCUCACGAUCUAUGGAGGUGAAUAAUCCAGAUCAUAACCCUUAUUUGUAGCACUAGCUACCGCAGCCCAAGAGCGGGUACCAGGAUUUUUCGAGCCACCUCUUGAAAGGGGUCGCUUGGACUUAGAUCUUCCCCUGUUAUUCGAACGGCCUCUGGCAGACAUAGGGGGAAGUCGCAAAUUCGCAGGAACACCAGAGGCGAGAGGAGCAUUACGGUUUCCCGCAAUCAACGAAGGGGCAACCGAGUGGGGUCGCUCAUUCCUAGGGGGGAGACCGAAAGCUCCGCCCCUUGUCAUUCGCACGGUUCUGUACCGAAUCGCUCUCCAUUGCAGGAAAACUCGCACACCAGAAACCGCAAAACCCUAAUCCAUCGAUCUGAAAACACUCCGCGAAAAGGAGACAUAUCAGGUGAUGCUUCAGAGGGUUUUAAAGAGUAGUGAAGGCACUUCUUGCCGCCAAAAAUUGGCCCCAACCGUCAGUCCUACCGGGCAAAAUAAGCAAAUCCAUAUUCGCAGGAACAGUGCAGAAAACGGGAGCCUAGAGAGCUUCCAUGAACUUGCCUUAUGUGAAUGUCGAUGUCUAAUUGUUCAUGCUUUGAUCUUGUGUAAAUAAUCCUUAGACCUGAGGCACAGUGUUAACUUGUGUAUUGAACAACUAUGAUUCACGGGUGCACAUAAUAUCGGGUCGUUGAUCCGUCUUUAUACCUGAUGGUCAUAGUUUGUUCAUAUAUGAAGUUACACGUGUGCGCAAUAUGGAAUAUGUCUCCUUGUUAUAUGCAAGGUAUGAUAAUGAUGUCCUAUGCAAUCUAAUUGUGACAAUGCAUUGAAAUCCUCGGCCGGGGUUGUAACCGAGAAUAAAUUAUUUAUGUCUCGAAUAAAAUGCAUGUCAAUUAGAUUUGUGCAUAUGAUCGAAUUAAUGACUUGACUAAUAUUCCAUGGUUUUUGUUUGAUCGGGACAUAAUAAGACAGAGGGAUUGAAUUACACUGUAGCCAAAGCUGACAAGUUCAUUAUGUUCUUAAAAUAUUCACACUAUCUAGGUAGCCAUGACAUAUUGCUAGAUGUCAAUCAUGGCUUGUAAGACCCAGAGAUUAAUCGGGACAAUUAAUUCUUGUGGGAGUACUAAUGUGUUAGUACAAGUCUUACUACCAGCUUAGUGAUGAACUUAGGGAUGUCACACACCAUAAACAAUUAGGAUAACGUGGAACAAGAGAGAAAUAUAAUUGCAAAUGUGUUUGCAAUUACUGCAAUCGAAUUGUGUCGAUUUGAAAUUAAAUUAAAUGAGAUUUAAUUUAAUUUGUAUUAUAGUCACGAGCCUACUUGCAUAUGAUGCACACGUAUUCUCAAAGUGGAUACAUGUUAAUGUAUUCCAAUUGUACAUAUAAAAUUAUGUUCUUUUUAUUUUUAAAAAGAGAAUUGAUUAAUUAAUUAAUUAUUCAUUUAAUUAAUUAAUUAAUUAAUUAACUAAUUAAAAAAUUAAAGCUUCAUGCAUGUGCACGAAGCGUAAUGGUCAGCGGUUGCUGACCAUUAUGCACGAAGCAUGGAUGGUCAGCAACCGUUGACCAUCAUGCCAAGAUCGUGCAUGAGCAAGCGUCUGCUAUGAACGAUCAGCAACGGUUGCUGAUCGUCCAUCGAUUAGCAACCAUUGCUGGUUGGUUUUAUUAUAAAAACAAUUGAGGGACAAGAGUUAAAGAGCUGCUGAAAAAUUAAAAAAGGAGACUUCGUGUGUUUUGUCUUCUUGUUCCGAAUCGGCUCUUCACCAUGAACAAAAACUUGAAGUUCUGCUAGUUGCUGAAUAUUGAGUAAAAGUGUGCGUGUGUUCUUGUGUCUUCGAGACACGAGGAAGAAAAACAAUUCUCUCGUUCAGGCCGUGACUAUUAUACAUCAAGAAUACAACGGAUUGUUUCCACGAGAUUGCUAGCACGAUCAUCGUGGUGAAUAUCCGAAAAUUUUGCCUUCCUUUAUGCAAGGAUUCUCUAACUUAUAUUUUGCUUAUUUCUGCCUGCAAAAAAGCAGCGUAACUGUGUUUAUCCCUACGAAUAAGAUUUGGAUUAUUAUGAUGACUUACGCCUCUGAAAGAGCCCAAAAGAAGAAGAAGAAGAAAAGACUGUCUUAGUGGUUUAGUAAAAUAUUUUCCGGUGUUGUUCUUCCAUCUCGUUUUUCUUUCUUAUGCCGAGGAAACACAUUUAUUAUUCAACUUCCUGUCAAACUCCACGUUAGAAUAAUCAACAUCAUAGAACAUAGAUACUACUCAAAAGGAAAAAUAGAAAAAAAAAAUGCUUCCUAUUAUGAUCCAUAUCCUUAACGGACCAAAGAUUUUGAAAUUUAAUUCAGAUCCUUAAUAUGUGCAAAACUUAAAGCUUCACUAGCCUCAAAUCUUUUUCUAAUUCAAUACAUUUAGAGUAACCUUGAAAGAAUUUAUGGGUGCAUCAUGUGGGGCAACCAUAUUCGCCGGUUGGUGGGGAAGAAAAACAUACACUACCAACUGGGAGUGCAAGGGGGUACUGGUACAUUAAAAUAAGGAACGCAGCCUAGCAGGGCUCCUUAUUUGAGAACUACCGCAGUUGGCCCUUGCAGGUGGGAAACCACCCGGGUAGAGGUGAGGCAAAAGGAAGAGACAUCAACUAUCUUCCUUGAGCCAAGGAUCCAAUACACGCCCACAGAGCAACCACGGGAUACUUUUAUCUUAGAGAUAAGAUAAGAAAUGGAGGUGGGAAAAAGAUUUAAAGGUUUUCCAAAUUAUCCCCAAAUUCUAUUGUUUGUGCUAUCAUUAGAAAAAAAGCCAUAUCAUUUGAACUCAUUUUGUUUGACAGGCCUGUGGGAGAAUUGAUGAAAUCAGUUGUGCAAAAAGUUUUGAACGAGUUGAAGAAAGCAGUGGACUUGGAUGACCCUAAGAAUUUGGUCGGAAUUGAUAGUCAUAUGGAGGAGGUUAUGAAAUUAAUAAAUAAGUGUUCUGGAGCUACCCUAUGUGUGGGAAUUUACGGAAUGGGCGGUAUUGGUAAGACAACUCUUGUUAAUGUCAUCUACAACAAGCUAUUAAAUUAAUUUGAGCAUUGUAGCUUCAUUGCUGACAUUAAGGAAUCAUGUAAUCGCAAUGGUAUUAGUUACUUGCAAAAUCAAUUAAUCAGUGAUAUAUUGCGAAGAAAUAUUCAAUUGCAUAACAAGAAUCACGGAAUCCGCAUCAUCUCCUCUUCCUUCAUGUGAUAUUACAGACGUGUGCGCUCCUUUUUUUUUCCACUAGUCAGAGAGCACACAGAUUGUUUGCGAAGACAAAAGGUUAAGAGAAUAAGUAAAGAAAAAAUUACGUUUGUAGAUUUGAUUUAUUUUGGAAUGGCCAUUUUCAAUCAGAAAUUGAAAAUUUUUAAAUUUGAUUUUUGAAAGUGUCGGUGAAAUUGAAGAACCACCUCGUAAUUAUCUCGAUAACUUUUAGUUAGGGUUUUAUCUAUUGUUUAAUGAUGGCAUCAAUAAAUUGCAUGGACUUUUAUGGAAGAUUUUAGGUAUGAGUUUGAAACUGAAAAUUGAUAUCGAGUUUACUGUAUAUUAAGUAGAAAUAAUUGAUAUUAUUUCACUGAGUUGGUAAGAUGCAACAUUUGUGAUCCUUGGUUUUGUACUUGUAGGGAACUGGAAGGAUUCAAGCCAUUUGUCUUGAGCAAGGCAACUCUAAUUAUAUAAUUGAUCAAGCGAGCCGCACAUUUACGGAUGAACCAUUUAGAAACUUAUCGAACUUGAGGUUUCUUCACAUGAAUGCUGUGAAUCUUGUCGGAGAUUUUAGUAAAUUAUUUUCUCAGUUAAGAUGGCUCAAAUGGGGGAAUUGUCCCUCAAAUUUUGAAGCAAGCAACUUUCAUGCGGGGGAAUUAGUCAUACUCGAUUUGUCAGGAAGCGCGAUUUCAGAUGUCUGGCAGGGAUGGCAUUCAAUGAUGGUAUGAUAUAAAAAUAUAAUCUUUUGCUUUUUUUUUUUAGUGGGAACAACUCCUUGCUGACCCCCAUGAUAUAUUCUUUCUUGCAGAAGGCAGAAAAGCUGAAAGUUCUCAACCUCACAAGUUGCCAUUCCUUAAAAGGGACUUCUUACCUCUCAGCUUUUAAAAGAUUGGAGAUUUUGAUCCUCAGAGAUUGUAGCGCAUUGGAGCAAAUUGAUAAUUGUAUUGGAGACAUGGAGAACCUCAUUUCCCUGGACUUAAGUGGAUGUUCUCUUCUUGAGAGGCUCCCGCUUCAAAUGGCUAAAUUAGAACAAUUGAAGGAGCUUCUUCUAGAUGAAACUGCGAUACAAGAAAUUCCUUCCUUCAUCAGUUCUCUAAAAAAGCUGGACACUUAGUGCCAGGGAUUGCAAAUCAUUAAUUGGACGUCCGGUCUCAAUAGGCAGUUUGGGGAAUUUGUCGACCCUUGUUUCAUCAGGCUACGUUGAGAUUGCAACACUUCCGAACGGCAUCGGAUUCCUUGAGAAUUUGUGGUGCUGGUCAUUGGGAAGCUGCCACCAAUUGAGAGAGAUUCCCAAUUCGAUUGGCAAGUUGAAAUUGCUGACUAGGUUGGACUUGAGUGGAUGUUCGCGUAUUGUGGAGCUGCCGCUUCAAAUGGGUGAACUAAAACAAUUGAAGAAACUUCGUCUAGAUCAAACUGCGAUACAAGAAAUUCCUUCCUCCAUCGUUUCUCUAGAGAAGCUGGAGGAAGAUCAAACUAUGUUUUCUGAUAUUCCUUCCUACACGGACUAUCUAUUGGAGCUAGAGACGCUCAUUCCCAAGGACUGCGAAUUAACUCGAUAAGCUGUUUAGUGAAUUUGCUGACCCUUCUCUUAUCAAGCUGUGUGGAGUUUUUUGGACUCCUUGACAUCAUUGGGUUUCUUGUGAAUCUACGGUGCUUGUCAUUGGGAAACUGCCAUGAAUUGAGAGAGAUCCCUAACUCAAUCGGGAAGUUGGAAUUGUUGACUCAACUGGACUUAUCAUGGACAAGGAUCACGGAAUUGCUUGAAGGAACUUCUGGGUAUCCGUAACAGUAGCAUAGAAACGCUACCGAUGGUAUUGGAAGGUUGGAAAAAAGUCUUGAGUUAUAUGCAUGAUGGUGCUCAAAUUUGGGAGGGAAUACCAAGCAUCCUUAAUCUUUCUUCUUUCAAGCCUUGUGCAUUUUGAUUUAAUGCCCAAUAAUCUGGAAUUCUUGUGGAUUUUUAUUCAAAUGAGUGGUUUGUGAUUUAGGUUUGGGUUUUCAUGAUGAAGUGGAAGCUGCAAUGUCAUUUCUGAUCUCUGCUCAUGGUGAAGUUUAGGAACCUGUUGGUGCUGUUGACGAUAUUGUUAUCUGCACAGCUUCCUUAAAUGGCGCCCUAUCUACUGCAGAUGCUCGGAAGAUUGUUAGAAGCAGCAGUAUUGAAUAACAUGGUGAUUCGUAACGUCUGGAAAUUACUGGUUGUUCAGCGGAAAUUUUGGUAUUUUUAAAAAAUAUUAGGUAUUUUCCUGAAAAAUGAGAACAUUUUGUGAUAUUUGGCCGAAAUAUAAAAAUGAACUGUCAAUUAUUUUCCUUCAUUUGAAAAGGAAAACUUGAUUUUACUUUGUUAAAGAGAUGUGCAUAAGGGAUACCUAGCAACAAGGGUUUCAAUUGUAGGAGUCGGGGUUUCUCUAUUGCAGAAAACAAGCGAUUAGAAGAGAAAAUAAAAAGAAAAGGAAACAAAUCACAUACCAAAUUUAUGUGAUUUGUCUGGCAAGACUUAUUCUUUGAAGAGAGCACCAAAUGAUUUUACUACGAAUCAAAUAAUACAAUGGAGAUCUCAAACGCAUUUGAGUCACUCGACUCGAGUACUCUCAAUACAUCUUAAGUCACGAUCACAUCUAAAAACUCACAUAGUGUUCAACCUUCAUAAUUUUUUAGAAAAUAUCUCAAUUUCAUGAAGGAUAUAACAAAUCUUAUCAAAACACUUGCAAUUUCUUCAUGAUGUAAUUCACGAAAAAGUAGCCUCUUUGAUACUUUUUACUAAAAAUCAUUAAAUAAUAUCAAUUUAAUUUUUUUCAUCAAUUUUAUUUUAUGAUUUUGUGGAUGCAAGUCACCCAAGCCAAUACCAGAAUUACCUGGAAGAUCGCUGUCGAAACAAUGAUUCCUUUGAUGCAGUGAUGUACAGGCAGAGACGCGUGACAAAAGUUGCGAAGAUCCCUAUUUUCUUGAUAAAGGCAUGUGAAGCAGGUAGGGGUGAGCGGUUCCCAGUUCCUUACAGGUUCCGCUUGGAACCUGUAACCUACCCUCGGGUACAGGUUCCUCAUUUUUUGGAACCUGGAACCUAUCCAUCAGAACUAAGAACCUAGAACCUACCCUGUUACAGGUUCCGGGGUCGGUUCCAGGUUCCAACAGGUUCCAACGGGUUUUUUUUUUUUUUUCAUUUUUAGUUUAAAAAAAUGGAAGACUCAUGAAAGACUCAACAGCAAGAAUAGGAACUGCCGAAUUAUGCUAACGUGAAAAUUUAUUGAACAGAGGAUAAGUCAUGUGGAAAUAGCAUGUUGAUUAAUCAGAACAAGUUUACUACAAUGUGUGAGAGGUUAUACACCAGAAAAUAGCUCAUAUGAACAGAGGAAUAGCCUUCUCAACAUUUACAUGAUUACCUGUCAUCCAUCCUUGUCUGAGCUUUAAUAUAAGACAGAGCUGCACAUGAUUUAAUAAUGCUUUUUGUAUAUCUUGUGGAUAUUAUCUCUGCUUCAGGUGUCAUUUCCUGAAAAUGGGCAGUAAACAAGAUUGUUCUCCUUUCAUGGGAAGAUCAAUCAAUAUAUUGGUAUACACAGGGCCGACAAUUCAUGAUUAGUAAGCACAUGAGCUAUCAUUUAGUGUAGUCUGGUGAUGGCGGCUAAUGGACAUGCAAUCCUCUUUACCAAAAAGAGCACAGCAAAUGACGAAGAUAGAACAAGAAACAUACCCAUAUAACAGAAAAAGCCAGUCUCUCCACAUCUACCCGAAGUGAACAUAUACCUACAACAUAAAUUCACAUGUUAAGUUUGAUAUAGGCAGGACCAUGAAUUAACCACAAUCAGUCUUUUCUCUGAUGUCAAAGAGACAUUUUACAGCUCUAAAUGUCAUAUUACCUUCUGUCAAAGGCUUUGGAAGCUUGUCAAUGCGGCGCUCAACAAGGUAAACAGAAGUGCCCUUUUGCACAGCCUCAUCAUUGAGUGGUGUGGAAGGGUGCAAAAAAUUUGUCACAUCAGCAAUAUCUAGGUGACUAACAUUAAAGAAAAAUUCCUGGCUAAGUCUUCAAAAACCAAAAAUUCAAAUUGUUGAAAUUGUGGGCCCUUGAAAUCUUUACUCCUUAGUAUGUGAAUGCCAUGGUACCUUAGUGCGGAACAAAAUUGACUUGGACCCCAUCAACAUGGAGUCAAAUCGAACCAUGCUCAAAAAAUUGAUAGACUAGAUAAAGCUUGUAAAUCAAGUUACUGAGAGUUUGUCAGAGAUUUUGGAGACAAAGAAUCAUCAAAUUCAGAAAUUUGAGGGGAAAAUAUGUGCAGAAACAAAAGGCACAGGAAUUAUCUCUACCCAGCUCAAGGAAGGACCAAAAGAGGAAAUUAGGAACGACAAAAGCAGCUAAAAGUAACUUGGCCCAAGAAAGCCUCACUCACUAGAAUCAACAAAACAUUUCUGCCAGACAAUGCCACGGCAAGAAGGUAAUGCAAAAGGACUCGGUAAAAAGAAAGGCAUCCUUGUCAAGGCAAGACCACCUCAGAAGAUGGUGGCACUUACUACAAAGUGAAGGACAAAAUUGAUAAAUACUCCUUGAAUAUGCUCGAUAACAAACAUGGUGCACCAGAGAAGUUAUUAUCAGAACAUAUACUCACAGGAUAAGUAGAAGUUUCAUAAGCAGCUAGUCAAGAUUAAAGAAAAUAAAAAUCCAUAGAAGGAUUGGGAAGAAACAGAACCGAACCAGAUGAGGCUCUAUAUCCAUUAAUUUAAGUAUUCUGACAUGACAUCAACUUCAACUUCUGUUUACUUGAAUAUAGGCCAUGAACUUUCCUAUGCAAACAACUCCAUAAAAACCAUUAUGGCAGGAUUAAUCUUAAGUCACAACCAUGUUAAAUCUAAAUAUGAAGCCCCGGGAAAGCCCAACUCUAAGGAUACGAACUCCAACUUCAAAAUUUCCAUUGGAAAGGGCUGUAUAGCGCAGGCCAUCAUCAAUAUCCUUGCAUCCUGCCCAAAGCAGAAGCAUACAUUAAACAUUAAAGACUAGAAUAUUGCCGACUAAGUAAGGGAGUUGCUUGUUGAGCUUAAUCUUCUAUUGAUUCUCCUUUAUAUUCUCCUUAUACGACUCCAACUCCAGAUUCGUCCUCUGCAGCUCCUCCUGCCAUCACAAAACAGAAAAACAAACGAAAUCUCAUCAAAACCCCCAUCGAUGCACGGACCCCAAAUUAAGAUUCAAAAGAAACCCUCGCGCAAGAGCCGAAGCACAGAAGCCCCCAAGAACAAGUAAACCCGCUCCACGAGCCCUAGCAAAUCCAACCGAAGCCAUCGACGUCCAGAGAGAGGGACAGACCUUGAGGAUGAGAAUCUCGUUGUCGAGGAGGCGAAAGCCAACCCAAGCUUCAAAGCCUCGCGCUUUCGAAUCGAGCAAAGAGAAUACAACACAAAUGCUCAAGAGCUUAAAAAGAACGACGCAAAGAGAGAGAGCUUACGGUCUCUGCCACCGCGAACGCUGCCUCUGGUGGGAUGAUACAUGGUUCCACGCGAGGUACUCCGAGCCGACGAAGAUGGGGAUGCGGUCGUCUUCUUCGCCGGCUUCUCGUAGACGAGCUUUACCCGGAGAUGUAGGUCUUGCCGGAGAGGAACUCGUCGAGGGACUUGAGGCCCGACUCCGUGUGGAGAUUUGUCGAGGAACUCGUCGAGGGCGAGCACUGAGCAUAGUGAGCAGCGUCGAGCAGAGACAGAGAGGAAGUGUGAAGUGAAAGUGGCAACUGAGACAAGGGUAAAUUAAUUUAGGGCUUAACCUAACCGGUUCCGGUUCUUUCGGUUCCGGUUCCUAUAAGAACCGGAACCGGAACCGGGAACCGGAACCGGUCAAUUAAGAACCGGGAACCACGCUCACCCCUAGAAGCAGGUAAGCCAUCUUUUUUUAUUAAAAUAAUUUAAUUAUGCUUUGUUUAUUUUACAAAAAAUAUUUUUAAAAAAUAUAUUAUUCGAAUUUUUCAGCUUUUAAUUUCUGAAAAAUAAACUAAUUAGGGAAAUAUUUUCCAUCAAUGGAAGAAAUAUUUUCAAAAUUUGAGAAAAUAAUUUCAUUUUCUGAAAAGAGAAAUUCCAUUUUCCAUUCUCUUUCUUUCACCUCUAGACCAAUCACUUUCUUUCAUCUACUAUGAUUUCAAAUAUAAUAUUAAGUUGAAAAAUUGUUGAUGAAGCGCAAGAGUUGGAAAAGAGGAAUCUCUUUAGUUAGGCUGUAGCAAUAAAGCAAAGGCAUUGGCUAAACAAAGUCAAUGCCAUUUAUGAGUAUUCACUAGUAAUAGGACAUUGUGUUGUCUACAAGGAAGUAAUAAAUAGUAUCUUGAUCUGAACGUGUGACUUGAAAUAUAGUCGACAAAUAAACAAUAUGAUUAGCCAUGAGAAGCCAAUAAAACUAAGUUCACAAGGGGGGAAUAGUUUACAUUUAUCGAUUGAUAGCCGAAUUGAUAUCAAUUGAGUCGAAAAGUACUAACAUCAAUUCACUAAGUUUGAAUGAAAUCAAAUUGAUUAGAGGACAAAAAUAGCUGGAACAAUUUUAUCAAAGGUUUGAUGGACAAUUGUGGUCAAGCAUUAAUUAAAGUUGAGUCAAUUAGUUGUUGCAGUCAAGCUCCCAAGGGGAUCAAUAAUACCAUCAAAUAUGGAGCCGAAAUUUGAUUUCAAUGAGUGAAAAUGGUUAUUAUGAGAGGCUAGCCACCCAUGGUGUAUGCAAAGAGCGCAUGAGGAAAUGAUGCGCACAAACAUCCGAAAAACAAGAUUUAUUUUUGUCAAUGCACUUAUUUACAAUUUAUUUUCACUCGUUUCACAGCGAUUUAUUUCUUAUCAUGCUAGUUGUUUAUUUAUAUUUAUCCAUCAACAGGUGCCCUCAUUCUUUUGGAAAUACGUGUUGUCAUCAGUCGAUUCAUUUCAUCAGUUUAAAAACCCAUUCAUCAAGUGUUUGGUGCAUGGUUCCGUCAAAUUAACGUACAAAAACUGUGAUGUUUGACUAGGAUUGUUGAUCAAUCAUAGCGCAAUAAUUCCUUAUGUCAAGUCAAUGAAACGGAAAAGUUUUUGAGCUUUGAACUGGAUUGGCACAAACUUAGUCAGUGAUCCUCACUGUAAUUCCUACUCACUAUUAUAGGAGCAAGUGGUCUCUUGUGAAUUCUCACCACACGUUGUGCUAAUAGGAUUUACAACUUUGAUUCAUCAGUAAAGCCAUUUGAUAUUUGUCUGCUAAACUUUGUCGUAGAACUUAAGAGUUUCUUACUUAAGGAAGUCGUUGCCGGAGUUGGCUUGAAAUGGAUAUAUCCAAUAGGGGUGUCAACGGUUCGAUUCGAUUCGGUUUUCCGAACCAUUAGAAAAAACUUCCAAAUCGAACCGAAUGAGACCCGAACUGAAAUUUCGGUUCGGUUCGGUUUGGUUUUUCAGUUUUUGGUUUUCGUUUUUUUUUUUUUUAGUUCAACUCAAAAUAUUCUAAAUUCAAUAUGUUAACUUCAAGCUUAAAGGAUUUUGCAAUUUAGAUCAUAUACUUCAUUCCCUUUUUUAAGCAUUGGCCAAGUAAUGAUAUCCAAUUUAAACAAUUGCUUAACAUAAUCAAUUGAGACUUGAUUGAGGCUUUUUUGAAACAGUGCGAGUGGCCCCGCAAAGAACCUACUUGGGAGAUCAUACACAACAAUGGAUUUCAAGAAGGAAAGAGAAGAAAGUGAGAACAUGGCAUUUGAAAGUUGUGAAAAAUCACAAUUUUGAAAAGAUCACAAAAAAAAAAAAAAAAGCAGCAAAAAGUGAGCUUCACUUGGACACGUGGCAAUUAACUAAUGAACUAGAAUAUUAGCUAAGAGGCACAACUAAAGCCUGCAAAAUUUUAAUUUACACAUUAGUAUUACCAUCAUAUAGCUGAUAGAUUGGUUGGGGGUUAAUGCUUGCCUAUUUAUUAUUCGCAGCUAAAUAUUCUGACAAGUUUAAGUUAAUGAACUACCGUGUCAUUUUUUUUUUUUAACAUGAUAUGAUAUAAACACUUUUUAACACAUUUAAUAUUAAGCUUCAAAGGACUUUUUCAUUCAUUGUUUCUUGUACCCUGCUAAAACCAGGUCUUUUUUCAUUUUCUUUCAAAUCAGAGGCUGAAAAACAGAAAGUGCUAGAGUUAAGGCCUUGGUCAUUUUCUUGCAAUCUCUUAGUGUUACAGCAAUGUGACCCAGACACUCUAGAAAUGUGUUAUGAGUUCACCUAUUGCCCUUUUCGGGUGCAUCUUUAUGGACUCCCAUUUGGAAGAGUAUCGAAUGAAAUAGUGAAAGAGAUAGCCUCUAAACUUGGGGAGGUUAUAGAUGUCAAGCUGGAAGCAAAGGGGAGCAGCAACUAUAAAGUAGGCAAAGCUAGAGUAAUUAUGAAUCUAGCCAAUCCCCUCAAGACAAGCAUUGUUAUCAACCUAGGAAAUAAAAACCUAUGGAUAUAAUUUAAAUAUGAGAGACUCCCACAUUAUUGUUAUUCUUGAGGUAAGAUUGGGCAUUAUGCCAUGGCCUGCAAAGAAAUACCAUAUGAGCAGUUAGGGCUGGAGGAAACUUGCCAGGCAAUUUUGGGCAAUGGCUCUUAGCAGAAGUGAAAGAAUUGAGUCCUUACGGGAAAAUAUUAUAUGGCAAACAAGCUGAAACCCAAAUAGCACAAGGAAUGGUCCUUGAAAAUCUUAUUCCUACUGUAACUUAAGAGGUUCAGAAGUUGAAGGAGGUAGUUGCGAAGCCUAGCAGGCCAUUUUGUGGACAUCAGCUCACUAUGGAGAAUGCUGAAAAAGAGGGUGAGAAAUCCUCCUCUCCAUUAGCAAUUAUGAUAGUUGAAGACAAAGGUACACAAAAAAGAGGCAGUAAUUGCUUAGAUGAUGAGUCUACUAUGGUGCUAUAUAAAGAACAAAUGAGGGAACUUGAAGCUAAGAUGCUAGAAAUCUUAGAAAUUUCACACAACCUAAUAAGGUGCAAAGCAAAAGGUACCAAACUAACCACAACAAAAAAGGGAAAGAGAUUUUUCCCUUAUGGUGCGCAUUCUUCCAAAUCAGUAUCUUUAGACACAUCACAACCGGUGGAUAAUCCUAUCACAGUGGAGGAGAAGGAAAUUAAGUGGACUUUGGUGGCUAGUCCUAAUAAGCCACCAGUAACCCAUGAAGCUUCUGAGUUGGAAUUGUCAGGGGUUGGGCUCACCCCUGAUAAUUCAAGCAUUGUGAGUCUUAAUGACUCGGGAAAGGCCCAUCACAAUCUUUUUAAUGGAAACAAAAAAUCAAGAGCAAAUGGUGCUAAAGCUACGAAGAAAGCUUAAGUUUCAGAAUAGCUUCCUGGUAAAUCUCAUAGGAAUUGCGAGGGGCAUGGCUAUUUUCUAGGAUAACCAGGUAGAUAUUUUAGUUGAAUCACAAAUAGAUAACUUAAUAAACAUGCAUUGCCAACUUCAGGAAAGCAGACAACUCAUGGAAAUCACCUUCCUGCAUGCCCCAAAUGAUCUCAAAGAAAGAGUACUCUUAUGGGAGGAUAUACAAAAAGCAAGUGUUGCAAAUUUCUUACCAUGGCUAUGUAUGGGUGACUUCAAUGAAAUUUUGUACCCUUGGGAGAAAGUGGGUAAAAAGAAGGCAGAACAUUUUCAACUCACAGCGUUUAGAGAUUUUCUUCAUGUUUGUUCUCUGAUGGAUUUGGAAUCAAGGGGUGUGCCUUACUUGGACUAAUCGAAGAGAAGGAGAUGAUUUUGUAAAGAAGAGGCUACACAUGGCUCUAUGUUCAAUGGAGUGGAGGGUUGCUUAUCCAAAUGCUGAAGUAGUAGCCCUACUAGCUAUUGGCUCUGACCAUAGCCCACUGAUAUUGUCAAUCUCCUCAAAGAAUGAAUGCAAGAGGAAGGAGUUUAUAUAUGAGGCUUUUUGGGCAGAAGAUGAGGAGUGCGAACGCAUUGUAAAGAGAGCUUGGUCUAAUUCAGAAUCUCCUGGAGCAAGUAUAAUGGGGAAACUCAAUCUAGUGGCUAAACAACUUGUUGAAUGGAGCAAAAAAUGCUUCCCUAAUGCACAAAAAAGAAUAUUAUGGCUGAAAAAUGAACUCCUAAAUCUGCAAAAUAGUCCUGAAAUACAUUAGGAUAGUUAGAGAGUUCAACAAAUGAAUAAAGAGAUUGAAUCCUUAUGAAGGCAGGAGGAGAUGUUUUGGGGAAUGAGAUCUAGAAUUAGCUGGCUGAAAUGGGGUGACAGAAACACAUAGUUCUUUCAUGCAAUAACCAUACAAAGGAGAAUUAGAAAUCGUAUCUCUAUGCUCAAGAAUGCAGAAGGGGAAUGGGUUAGAAAUGAGGAUAAUCUCAAGGAAAUGACAGGCACUUUCUUUAAUAAUCUUUAUACGUUAAUGGGUUCCCGAAAUUUCCAGCCUAUCCUAAGUCAAAUCCCUAGCUCGAUUGACGCAAUUAUGAACCAAAAGCUAAUUGAACUUGUUACUAUGGAGGAAAUUACUACUGCUACUCACCAAUUAGGAGCUACUAAAGCUCUAGGGCCGGAUGGUUUGAAUGGGUUAUUUUUCCAGCAUCAUUUACAGGAAAUUAACCAUGAUAUCUUUAAGGAGGUACAACAAUUCUUUGAUACUGGACAAUUAAACCCAAACUUAAACAGAACCCUUAUCACCCUCAUCCCCAAAAACCCAAACCCCGAAAAGCUAGAACAAUUCCGCUCAAUUAGCCUAUGCAAUUUUGCUUAUAAAAUUAUUUCCAAAAUCCUUACAAACAAGAUGAAACCUUUGCUUCCAAACCUAAUUACAGCAGAACAAAGUGCUUUCGUGGGGGGCAAGCAGAUUCAAGAUAAUAUUCUGAUUGUACAGGAGGUCUUGCACAAAUUAAGAACACGUGAGAGGAAAAGGAAAUUCCAAGCUUUCUUAAAGUUAGAUAUGUAGAAGGCCUAUGAUCAAAUAGAGUGGGAUUUUCUCCAAGAAUGCCUAAUUAAGAUGGGUUUUUGUGGGAAGUGGGUGUAGUGGGUCAUGUGUGUUUCCACGAUCUCAUUUAGCAUUAAAUUCAAUGGGAAAUCUAUGCCAUACUUCAAGCCAACUCGAGGUAUUUGCCAAGGAGACCCACUCUCCCCCUAUCUCUUCAUUUUAGUGGCUAAUGUCUUGUCUUAUAUGAUGAAAGAAGCCAUAACAGUAGGUACUCUUCUGGGAAUUAAACUAAAUAGAAAUUGUCCCACUCUUUCCCAUUUAUUAUUUGCGGACGAUUCUAUUUUUUUUCCUAGAUGGUACAUUAAUAGUGUCAAAAUCUGGCGGUUAUUUUGCAUCAAUAUUGUUUUGCAUCAGGACAAGCUAUAAACCUAAACAAAUCAGGAAUUUAUUUCAGCAAAGGAUGUUCGGAAGGAUUAAAAAUGAAUAUGGUAUUAGAGUUGAGAGUUCCAUAAAUUACUAAAACAGGGAAAUAUCUGGGAAUCCCGUCAAAUUGGGGAGCUUCUAAAAAAGACAUGUUUACCUAGAUACUUGUAAAGGUCAACAUGAAACUGGAAAGUUGGAAAAAAAAUUUGUUGUCAAAAGCAGGGAAGGAAAUACUCAUUAAAUAUGUGGUGCAGGCAAGUCCUCAGUAUGCAAUGUCUGUGUUUAAAAUCCUAGUUUCCAUUUGUAAAGCUAUUGAAAAACAAAUAGCUAAUUUAUGGUGGAGGAAUAGCAACAAAUUAGCUAGCCUACACUAGAAAAGAUGGGAAGUUCUAAAGCUUCAGAAGGAUGAAGGAGGACUCAACUUCAAGGACCUUCUAGCUUUCAAUAAAGCUAUGCUAGGAAAACAAGCUUGGCGACUUUCCCAGCAUCCAGAUACCCUUUGGAGUCGUAUUAUGAAGGGGCUCUACUUCCCGAAUUGUGAGUUCUGGGAAGCAGGUAAAGGCUCUUGUUCGUCAUGGGAAUGGCAAAGCCUCUCAACAGGUAGUGAUGCAAUUGUCCUGUAAAUUAUGUGGGUGGUUGGAAAUGGAAAAAGAAUUUCUAUUCGAGAAGAUAGAUGGCUGAAGAACAAACCUAUAGGUGGCCCAGCGACUAGAGAUGAGCCACUCAAAGUGGCAAAGUUAAUUGACAUGGAAGCAACACAAUGGAAUGAACCUCUGUUAAGGUCCAUGUUUGAUGAUCGGCUAGUCUCGAAAAUCUUAACUAUGCCUAUAGGCCAUCCGACCAUAGAAAAUAGAUUGGUUUGGAUAGACAACAAGUCAAGGAACUAUACAGUGAAAAGCGAAUAUCUUAACAACAGGAUCACUUCAGCCAGCCCACACACAUCGACUCCAACAACUUCUUACCAAGUUAAACUAGAACUUUGGAAACUCAUAUGGAAAUUAGUAAUAACCCUCAAGAUUAAAUCCUUUCUAUGGAAUGCAUGCCAAAACGCCCUGCCAACCAUGGAGAAUCUGUACAAGAGGAUAAUAGUACCCUCACCCAUAUGCCCAAUUUGCAAACUCGAACCGGAAAUGAUUAAGCAUACCUUGCUGCUAUGCCCCUAGUCUCUUUAGAUCUGGAACGUGCAUACCUUGCAAGUAAAAAUCUCAAGAGUGGGUUUAACCCGAUUUGAUGAUUGGUUGUCUAGAGUGAAAGAAGAUCCAUGGAGCUUACCAAAAUUUUAUUAGAUUGCUAUGGCUUUGUGGUGUUUUUGGAAUGAUAGAAACCACUUUAUCUUUAGGAAAAGCCCCCUAAACCCGCAUCAUACCCUGUCAAAGCCUCAACGUUACAAGAUAGUUUCGUGAAUUGGAAUCUAAAACCAAAAGAACAACAAAAACAUGAUACCUCAUCUCAAAAGCGGUGACCCCUGAACCCUGGAAUGAUCCAGAUCAACAUAGAUGCCUCUUUUGUUAACACCCUCAGAGAAUACCUAGCCUCUGAAAUAGAUCAAGGAGAGGGCACCUUCAACUCAGGUACAUUCGCAGUUUCAGAUCUACCAAGAGGAUCCUCUUUCUCUUAACCUAGCGCACCCCCAGCUUUUGUAACAACCUGAGAACCUAUCCUCUGCAACUUGGGUCCUCCCAUUGCCUCAGAUCUGACCUCAAAGACCAGCCACCAACACAUUAAUGACUCUGCAACCAGUGAUCCAUCGAUGAGCUCGUCUCCAACAGCUCUUUAGCCCAUCCAGUGGUUGAUCCACUCAUGAGAGCUGCCGACCCACUCGGAGGAGCUGCCCUCUACAAUAUGAGGGGUCGACGCACACCAACAGGAACCGAAGCCCACCUAGUCUUGGAAUCACACAGGGAAGCUGUCCCCUACAACUCUGGUCCUCCCUCAGCAGUAGAUCUCACUUGAAAGACCAAUAACCGGCAUGCUCAAGCCUUCCUAGCCUUGAAUCCAAGUAUCGAAGCACGCCCAACGAAAAACUCACUCAGAGAAGCUAACUCUACCACCCAUGUUCCUACCACGGGGCAAAUGAACACCCCACCUUCGAAGCUAUUAGAGGAGCCGUCCCUUGCAACAUGAGCUGUCCUCCUCCCACUAAUUUGAAUAGAAGGGACACUGGGCACCAGAAUCGCUCCUCUCCAACCAACGAUCCCACUAUAGGGCUCACCUCUAGCAUCAAUGCAGCACGUCCAACCUUUAACCCAAGUUGAGGAGCCGUCGCCUGCAUUUGUCGUGAUUCCCUUUGCAGAAUAGUUGAUGGGUUCACCGAAUUGGUUGCAGUUAGCUUGACGGAACAAUUAGAUGCUGCGGCGCUCGUCAAAACCCUAGAUUUUCUCUUCCUCAAGUUUCCCAUGAACAACAUUCAACUGAAGCUACAAGUACAUUCUGACUGUUGGAGGCUCGUGCAAAGCAUUUUCAGUUCAGAGGAGUUCAGCUGGGAUGCACAAGCAUUAGUGGAUUGGGCCAAGACAAAGAUGCAAGCAUUACCAGGCCUAACACUAGCCCAUUGUAGUAGAGAGACUAACAAAGUAGCGGAUUGGCUUGCGAAAGCCCAUCGCAUGAAAUUUCCUCCCACUAAUUGGGUUUCUCAACCCCAUUUGCUCUUUUAGAUUUGCUAUGUGUUGAUGCUCUUGAUGUAUUUACCAAGCACUCAGUUAAUUAAUAUAUCUCAUCCGUAUUUUCGACCCAAAAAAAAAGGACUUUUUCAUUCCUAAAAUCUUUGCAACAAAGACCCAUAUGAAGAAAAUAAAAAGAUGAAAUCGAGAAAAUAUGGAGCAUAGAAAAGCUUUAAGGCAUAAAUAUCUGCCAAGUUAACCCAAACUCAAAAAUCAAACUCCUCAAUACUUCACAGCCCCUCAACUCCCGAGUCUCCACUAGCAGCCUCUCAUGGUCUCUCAGUUCCAUUUCCCAAUUCAUGGUCUCCCUCAAAUUAUCAUUUGACAAAAAUAAAAGCUUAAGCUCCCAAUCAACCAAUAGCUGAAACAUUCAGUCUUAUUUCUGCAUUAUAAAAUUAGGGGAAUGCCUUUCCUCUAAAAAUAGAACAAGCCCAUGUAACUUUUAUCUCCCAAUCUCCAGGAGCUCUAUCAACAAUAUGAAAUUGCAAAAUGGCCCUCCAAACUUUUAAAGAGAACACAAAAACCGAAAAAUUGACCAAAUUCCUAAGCUGGGUACAAUUUUGCAUUAAAUUCACAAUGAAAAUGAGAAUUGAAGUAUCAAUUGUACUAUUGAAAGAUAUAAAUAUAGAUAAUUCUUACAUCUAAGUUCGUCAAUCAUCAAGAGAAAUUGCUAUUGAAUUCAGGUCCAUGGCCAUAGAUGACAACUCUGCAUUAAAUUCAUAAUGAAAAUGAGAAUUGAAGUAUCAAUUGUAAUAUUGAAAGAUAUAAAUAUUCCAUGGUUAUUUUUUUCUCCCUUGACUCAAAAUUUUCAAGUUCUUCUAUGUUCUCCUCGAUCGACUGUGAAAGUGGUGCGGAUCAUAGCCAAUCUUGAGUACAUAUAAGAACCUCAACCAUCAUUGAGGUCAAGGAGCUACGAAUACAUCAAGUACUCGACCUCUGGUACUGAAUGCAGAUUCUGAUGCUACAAUGGAGAUAGGCAUGGCCAAAAUAUCUCGAGCAAUGGAAGACAAGAUGGGAUAUCUGAAAGAAUUGACUUUCCACCAAUUUAAGAUAUCAAAUGUGGAGCUAUACCAUUCACAUCAUUCUUCCAAAUACUUAUCUAAUUCAAAUUUUUCUUCCACAUAUUCUUGUCCCGUUUGGCUAAGAUACAUUGCAGUCAUAAUGUCCGCAACAACCACAGGAGACAUUGAAACGUCCACUGUCCUUAUCUCCUUUAAUCUCACGUUGCUUUGGGGGCAUGUACUAGUGUGAUAUUGCUUAAACAAUAAUGUCAGAGAUUUUGUCACUCUAUCUCGCAAAGUUUCUGCCCGGUCGCCUUCAUACACUUGAUUAAUCAUCCAUUUCACAUACUCCAUCUUAUGUCGAGGGUCAAGUAUACAUGCAAUGAACCAUGUUAGAUUUAAGUUAUUUACAUUGCCAAAAUACUUAUCGAACUUGAUCUUCAUUCUCUUGACUAUUUCUUGCAAACUCCUAUCCUCAUCCCUACAAUAUCUAUCAAUAAUUAUAUAAAUCACAUAGACAUCUUUUGCCAUAUCAUUGCAAAUGACAUAAGAAGAGCCCGAUACUUUUAAAGUCGCAUCGUAGAACAACUUCAAGAAAGAAAGAAAUCGAUGGGCAUAAUCCCAAUCAUCAUCAAUAGGCAACCCUCUCACCUUGGAAAGCUCUUCAACAAAUCUUCUAUCCUGAAUAUCUAAUGAGAUAAAAGCAUUUCGAAACUUCAAGGCCAUUUCCAACAUUAGGUAUGUUGAAUUCCAUCGAGUCUCCACAUCCAAAAAUACAAGAUUAUUGGAAUCAAUAUUUUCCAGCAGAAUGCACUCCUUAAACCAUUGCAAUCUCGAAGGAGAAGAUCUCACAUAACGUACAGCUGAGCGUAUUCUAACAAUGGAAUCAUCUAUAUCUUUCAAACCUUCUUUCACAAUCAAACUGAAAAUAUGAGCACAACAUCCAUAUGAUAAUAUCAGAGCAUUCCAAGAGAUAAGUCUUUUAUUCAAGUAUUGAACCCCUGAGUCAUUGGAGCUAGCAUUAUCAACAGUGAUAGAAAAAAUGUCUUUGAUCCCCCAACUAGUUAAGCAUUUCUCAACCCUUUUUCCCUAUAAUCUCAGUCAAAUGUCCUGAGAUUUGACAAAAAUUCAAAAUUUUCUUUUGCAACUUCCAAUUAGCAUCUACAAAGUGAGCCGUUAGACACAUGUAACUUAGAUUUUGACAUGAAGUCUACAUGUCAAUCGUAAGACAAACCCUUGGAGAAGUAUCGGAAAAAUAUUUUUUCAGUUUGCUUCUUUCCUCCAAGUAUAACUUAUAACAGUCCUCCCUUAAUGUGUUUCUUGAAGGGAUUAAAAACUUUGGCUAAAUUCUACUCACGAAUUUCCGAAACGCCUCAAUUUCCACAAACUUGAAGGGUAGUUCACCAAUAAUAAACAUCGCUGCUAGAUCUUUUCAACUAACAUCUUGAUCAAAUUUCCAAGGACUAGCUAAAAUAGAACUACCAACCCCAACAAGUUCAUUUGAGACACUUUUUUGCCUUUUGCUCCACGUUCGCAUAUGGACAAUUCUUACAUCUACCUAAAUGAUUAUGCAUCCCACUAGUCCCUUGAGUACUAGAACAACCAAUAAUAGCCUCACAAUAUAGGCAUUCGGCUUUAUCUUGGUUAUUUUCUAUCAUUUUAAAGUGUUCCCAUGCAAUAGAUCUCUUCCUCUUUCUAUUUGUACCGCUAGAUUCACUCAUUAAAGAUUCGCUCAUUGUAUAUUUGGCUUUGCAAAUGAUGUUACUACCUUGACAAGGAGAUCUACAAAUGGCUUAUCCUAAGAAUAAAUAAACCCUUUCUAGAUUCACAAAUUUGAAAAGUUGUCUAAAGUCAUCAAUAAAUUAGAUUAAAAAAAGCCAUGAGAAUAAAUAUAAGACAUUGAGCAACCGUGUUUGAGAAGUAACAUACCAAAACAAAUAAGAACUACAGAAAAAGAUAGGACAAAUAACCUUAUAUGAGCAGAAGAGAUUGAAAAAAUUAGUUGGUGAAAGAGAGCUCUACAUUUAUAAUUCUCAAUUCGAGUAUGCUCAUAUGUACCUUAAAGCCAUUUUCAGCCCUUCCACCAAUAAAAAUUCCGCUGGUUGUAUUGCCUUUUUAAUGUUUGUUCUGUCAAAAAGACGAUCAACGACAUAGAUUCCCUCAGGUUGAAGGUGAUUCCUAAAGGCUGUUAUGAUAUUCCUACCAAAAUAAUGGAAAGAAUGCAAGAAAAGGGAAUGUUAGUCGAAGUAGUUCAGUUUUCUCCCUCUCCUGCCAUUUUGAAACAAGCAGAAGUCACCAAAGUCAUUGGUAAACAAUUGGAAGUCUUGAGAGCUUCUUCUCAGGGAGGCUAUCACUUACCCUCCAAUGAGCUGAGUUCGUGUGGUGAAAUAUUUCUUUGAAGCCUUCUAUUAACAUCAAUGAUGAGGUGAACGGCUAAUCAAAUGCAAAGGCAAAAGAUCUCCAAUUUGAUAGCAAUGAUGAGGUGGACGGCUAAUCACCACAAAACAGAAAUGAUCAUUUCAAGAGUAAUCUCCAACAUCAUAGGAGUUUUCUCCAACAAAUAUAAGCGAGAUCAAGUAUGGGUUAUUAGAUUUGUAUUAUAUAAAAACUAGUCAAUACAUGUUAAAUGGUUCUAUUUGAGUAAAAAAAAAAAAUCGAUCUAAUCCAACCCAUCUGUUUCAUAUGCGAGGUUUUUUUUUUUUUGGAAUAAGAAUUUAUAAUUCUAGCCUCACAAUUAUUUGAAUUUCAAGGGGCUCACAUGCCAAGCAUGUGUUUACAAUUGUCACUUCAUAAAUACUACCGUCAGAAUACUAUUUAAUCAAAAGAUAAGUAAAUCAGAUUGAUAGGCGAUUUCAUCUGGUAACAUAAAAAGCCACUUUGGCGAUCUAAGGGCACUCUGUUUUUCGUUUUUACUCUUUUGGUAAAAUCAAAGUUGAAUUUCAUUUCGUUUGAUUACAUUUCAUUUGCAUUUCACCUAUUGUGACGUAAAUCUAAAAGGACCUUAGCGACUUGGUGGACCAGCAAGGUGAUGAAUUAUCCAUCUUCGCCCUCAAGCAAGGAAGUUGGCAUAUGAUUUUAUACUUAAAACCAAAAGAUAAGUAAAUCAGAUUGAUAGGCGAUUUCAUCUGGUAACAUAAAAAGCCACUUUGGCGAUCUAAGGGCACUCUGUUUUUCGUUUUUACUCUUUUGGUAAAAUCAAAGUUGAAUUUCAUUUCGUUUGAUUACAUUUCAUUUGCAUUUCACCUAUUGUGACGUAAAUCUAAAAGGACCUUAGCGACUUGGUGGACCAGCAAGGUGAUGAAUUAUCAAUCUCUAGCUUGCGACAAUUGCACAUUUGAGAAAAACCAAACUUUCAUACCCCCCCCCCCUCGAUCACUACUCGAUCUCUGAACUCCCUCACUAAACUCAACGGGUCAGUUCAAGGAGCAGCUCAUUUUUUAAAGGUAAUUAUUUAAGGAAAAUAGUUCAUAAAAAUGGAUUUCAACUUUGUUGGAAAAUAAAACUCCUAUGAUGUUUUGAAGCUGACAAAAUUUAUCCAAGUUAUAUUCUGAAGAUUGCCAGACUUCUGUGUCAAAGUCUAUAUUACAUUAGAAGUCUGCUUGCUCUGACAAGUUCCAGACUGAAUGCAAGAAUGAAGACUUAAUCAAACUCAAGAUUAUUUUCUUCAAGGUAUUAGUGUGUACAAGAUACAUCAGGCUUUCUGGUUGGAGAUAUCACCUACCAUUUUGGUUAUUUUGAUUGGAAUCAAUUUUGAAGAAGCAAAUCAUUUUGGAAUACAAACUUAUUUGGAAAUAAUCUACUUAUGGAUAUCAAGAUCCUAAUUGUAUGGGCGAACAUGAUUGACGGGCUUUCAUCUCAAUCUUCAAAUGGCUCAAGAUCUCCUUGACUAAUUCUGUCCAACGGGUUGAUUGGAAGAAUUCCUCUGGAAAGUGCUAACAGUCGAGAAGACAUAGAGGAGUAUUUAAAGGGGAUUUUACAAGUCAUUCGAAGAAAGCGUGAAAGAAGAAUUCCAAAGUCUGAAGCUUCCAAAUCACUUGUCCUUCAUCACUUAGUGCUUGAACUUGUAUUCGAAAGUGAGAAACUUUGGAGAGUGAUCUUGUGAGAACAGUAGAGACUCCUCACUAAGAAGUUGAGAUCACAGGGCUAUAACAUUCUCUUUCGAUUCAUAGUGGAAACCAACCAGAAGGCUAUUAGCGUGGAAGAGUGGACGUAGGCUUGAUCUAAGCCAAACUAUUAUAAAACUUGUGUCUAUUCUUCUCUUCCCCGAACUACUUUAUCUUAUUUGCUGCGAUAUACUUCUGCGUUUUGAAAUAGUCAUUAAAAUCUGAAUCCUUCUGCAAAGUCUCUAAUGAACCAAAACUCAGGUUAAAAGUAAAAAUUCACCCCCUCUAGGUGUUCAUACUAGCCCCUUCAAUUGGUAUCAGAGCUUGUGUACUUAUUUUAUUGAAAUGUUUUUACUUCUUAAGCUAAAGACAAUUGGUAUCGGAGCUUAUGUACUUAUUUUAUUGAAAUGUUUUUACUUCUUAAGCUAAAGAUCUUCUAUGGCUAGUAUUCUAACUCUAGGUUUGGUUGAGGGAUAAAGCAACACCAAACCUCCUUACUUCGAUGGAAAUGAGUACAACAUGUGAAAAAAAUAAGUUGAAGGCAUUUCUCAAAUCAAGAGAUCCCCUUGAGUGGGAUAUUGUUGAAAAAUGAAUCAAUCCUAAAGCAACAACAACUUCAGACAAAGGGAAAGAAGUGAUUGAUGCUGAUGAAUCAACACAAGCUGAAAUUACCAAGAGACAAGCUCUUGAUGAAAAAGCAAUUUAUUCUUUAUAUUGUGCUUUGUCUCCCACAAAAUAUAAUUGAAUUUCUUCUUGUGAAAUAGCAAAGGAAGUUUGAUACAAACUUCAUGUUACCUAUGAGGGGACUGAUUGUGUGAAGAAAAUAAAAAUAAACAUUCUGCUUGGACAAUAUGAAGCAUUCAGAAUGAAGCCUAGAGAAUCUAUCUCUGAUAUAUUUAGUCGCUUUACAGAGAUUGUGAAUGGCCUGGCUUAUCAAGGCCAACCAAUUUCUGGACCAAUGAAAGUCAACAAACUACUGCAUGGACUUUCAAAGGACUGGAAUCAUGUGAAGACCUCAAUUAGAGAGACUCAAAGGAUUAUGCCUCUAUCAGUAGAUGAACUGAUUGGCACGCUUCAGUCGUACGAAGUGGAGUAGAUCAAUGAUGAGGAAGAUCCAAAAGGUAAGAAAUCAAUUAUUUUAAAAUCUAACGUUGAUUAUGAUGAUAUCGAUUCGGAAGAUGAUAUGGAUCAUGAAGAGCAGGCCCUCAUGAUAAAGAAAUUCAUAAGACUGAACAAAAAAUGUAGAAGGUUCAAUUGGAAGAAUCAAGGCUUGUAGAAUUUCCAGAAGAAACCUUCGGAAGAAGCUGAAACUAAUAGAGAUGUAAUAUGCUUCGAGUGCAAGAAAAAUGGACAUAUCAGACAAAACUAUCCCAUGUUGAAAAAGAAGAAAGUGAAGAUUGAAAAAUACAAAAAGGCUCUCAAAGUAGAAACUUGGAGUGGCGCCAAAUGUGAAGAAAGCGAAGAAGAAUUCACAAACAUAUGUCUGAUGGCUCACUUAGAUUCAGACUCAGGAUCAGAAAUAGACACUGAUUCAGACUCUGAUAAAGAAAUCGAGGUUAGUAACUCAGAAUUUCCUAUUAAAGUCUCUAUGUAUAUAGACGAACUUUGUCUCAAUCUUAAAUCAUCUCUUAAAAGGAUCUCCAAACUGAAGAAGGAGAAUUCUAAGCUCAGGCAACAAGAUGUUUCUUGGAAAGAAAAGUUUGAAAGUCUGAAAAGAAGCUUCGACGAUUUGAAAGAAAAUUCCGAUUCUCUUUCAAAAGAAAUUGUUGACUUAAAAAGAGAAAUUUUAGAUAUUUCAAAAAGGUUUUCAAAAGAAUCAAAAAAAUUAUAGAAAAUUCUUAUAGCUCAAAUACCAUAUUUUAACAAAUCUGGUAUGGGUAUGAGUUUUGAAACUACUCCUUUAAUUGAUUUUCCUAAAGUAAAAGAAAGACUUAAGCAAAGGCCUGCAAAUUUUUUUUACAAAAAUCAUUUUCAAAAAGUGUUUGUAAAACUUGUUGACCGAAAUACUCUAAGAUAUUCUAAGUGUAACAGCUCAGAACAUUUCGAGAAUGAUUGUCCCAAGUUUUAGGGACCAGUUAAGAAAUAUUAGGCAAAAACUGUUUUUAAUACUAACACUCCUGGACCCAAGAAAAUCUAGGUACCAAAGAAAAUUUGAGUUUUUCUUCUGAUUACAAGUCACUAUUAAAAGAAAAAUUAAAUGGUAUUUGGAUAGUGGCUGUUCGAGGCAUAUGACAGGAGACUCAAGCUAUUUCAUAAAGCUUGACAAACUAAAAUGAGGAAAAUUUUCUUUUGGAAGAAAUAGCAAAGGAAAGAUUAUAGGCCGUGGAUCUAUAAAGAUUGGAAGUCCGACUAUCAACAAUAUUUUCCUGGUGAAAUGUUUAAACUAUAAUCUUCUAAGUAUAAGUCAACUUUGUGAUACUGGUUUCAGAAUAAAUUUCCAAGAAGGUAUAUGUUCUGAAAUAAGUCAAGACUUCUCUUAAUCCUUUACUGGGCAAAGGCAUGGCAACAUAUAUCUUAUGGACGUAAAUCCAGAAAGCUCUCAGUGCCUUAUUUCUAUUCAAGAUGAAGCAAGUCUCUGGCAUCGGAAGCUUGGUCAUGUAAAUAUGAAGCAGAUUACCAAGGUUGCCUUUAAGAAGCUGGUUCGAGGGCUUCCUAAUUUGAUAUAUCAAAAGUCUGAAUUAUGCACUCCCUAUGUCUUGGGAAAGCAAGUCAGAAGCUCUUUUAAACCAGUUAAUCAAGUGUCUACCAGUCGAGUUUUGCAACUUCUUCAUAUGGAUCUUUUUGGACCAACAAGAACUCAGAGUCUUGGUAAAAAGAAAUACCGUCUAGUUAUUGUGGAUGAUUAUUCUCGUUUCACUUGGGUGUUCUUCUUAGCAAACAAGUUUGAGACUUUUGCAUACUUCUCAAACUUUGCCAAGAAAGUUGAGAACGAGAAAGGAUAUGCUAUUUCAAGCAUAAAGACAGAUCAUUGAGGUGAAUUUGAAAAUCAAGAUUUCACAAACUUCUGUAAUGAAUCUGGUUUUCAGCAUAUUUUUUCAUCUCCAUAUAUUCCAGAACAAAAUGGGGUCAUAGAAAGCAAAAACAUAUCUUUACAAGAGAUGGCUAGAACUCUAUUGAUAGAAAGCAAAAUACCCUCUCGCUUUUGGGCAGAAGUAGCUUCUACUGUAUGUUAUAUUAUCAACAUGGUGUUCUUAAGACAUAUUCUAGAAAAGACUCCCUAUGAGGUAUAUAAGGGAAAUAAGCCAAAUGUUUCCUACUUUCAUGUCUUUGGCUGUAAGUGCUUUUGUUUAAAGAUGCAAAUGACUGAUCUGGAAAGUUCGAAGAAAAAUCAUAUGAGAAUUUUUCUUGGGUACUCUAUGACAAGCAAAGCUUAUAGGGUCUUUAACAAAAAGACUCAAUAUGUGGAAGAAUCUAUGAACAUCAGGUUUUAGGAAGAUAUGCAGAUUCAGUCAGAUUAGGUUCAACUUAAAGAGUCCGAACUAGUUCCAAACUUAACAAAGUCUAUCUCCCCCAGCAAAGUUCAAACUUUUGGAGUACAACAACAAGUAGAACAAGAAGAUUCAAAUGGAACAGAGGAUCAAUAGACUCUCAAGCCAAACAACAACUAGAAGCACAAGUUGAGUCAUCCCAAAGAACUCAUCAUUGGCAACAUUGAUGAAGGAAUUCACAUCAGAUCCAAAGCAAAAGAAGACUGCAAUGCUUUAGCACUUGUUUCUGAGAUAGAACCAAAGGUGUAGAAGAAGCUCUUUUUUAUGAAAGCUAGAUAGAAGCUAUGUAGAAAGAAUUCAGACAAUUCAGGAUUAAUGACGUAUGGGAGCUGAUUCCAAAACCUAAAGACAAAUAUGUUAUUGGAACAAAGUGGGUUUUCAGAAACAAGAUGGAUGAGAAAGGAAAAGUGAUCGGAAUUAUAUCAAGAGUCGUGGCAAAAGGAUACACACAAGAAGAAUGGAUAGACUAUGACAAGAUCUAUGUACCAGUAGUAAGGUUAGAAGCAAUUAGAUUAUUGUUUGCUUUUACUUGUUUCCAAAAUUUCAGGUUAUUCCAAAUAGAUGUCAAAAGUGUUUUCCUCAAUGGAUUCAUUCAAGAAGAAGUCUAUGUGGAACAACCAUCAAAAUUUGAAGAUCCAAGAAAAUCAUACUUUGUCUACGGACUGAAAAAAGCUUUGUAUGGUCUGAAGCAGGCUCCACGAGCCUGGUAUAAAAUGUUGAGUAAGUUUCUAAUUCAUAAUGGUUUUGAAAAAGGAAAGGUUGAUACUACUUUGUUUAUAAAAAGGGAAGGAAAAGAUUUUCUACUUGUACAAAUUUAUGUAGAUGAUAUAAUAUUUGGUUCUCCUAACAAAAGUCUUUGCAAGAAAUUUUCAAGAUCUAUGCAAGAUGAAUUUGAAAUGGGCAUGAUGGGUGAAUUGACUUUCUUUCUGGAAUUGCAAGUUAGACAAUCAAAGGAAGGUAUAUGCAUUCACCAGGAGAAAUAUGCAGAAGAUCUCAUCAAGAAAUUUGAAUUGGAGAAUUGCAAGAGGACAAAAACUCCUAUGUUGAGUUCAUCAAAACUGGACAAGGAUGAAGGAGGGAAUAAAGUAGAUCAGAAACUAUACAGAAGCAUGAUCGGCUCUCUUCUUUAUCUCAUUGCCUCUAGACCUGACAUGUUAUUUAGUGUAUGCAUUUGUGCUAGAUUUCAGUUUGAUCCAAAGGAAUCUCAUCUUAGUGCUAUUAAACACAUCAUUAAAUAUGUUGCAACUUUUCCAAAGCUGGGUUUAUGGUAUCCAAAAGAAUGAGACUUUACUCUUCUCGGUCAUUCUGAUGCUAAUUUAGCCAGUUGUAGAAUCAAUAGAAAGAGCACAUCUGGCACAUGUCAACUAUUGGGACAAAUGCUGGUGUCUUGGUUCUUAAGGAAACAAAGUACGGUGGCUUUAUUGACAGCAGAAGCAGAAUAUGUUGCUAUUGGGAGUUGUUGUUCUUAAAUCCUUUGGAUAAUAUAACAACUAAAAGACUUUGGAAUAGAAGAAUUCUGCACAGAGAUCAAAUGCGACAACACAAGUGUUAUAAAUCUCACCAGAAAUCCCAUUCUUCAUUUAAGGGCAAAGCAUAUAAAGAUUCGAUAUCACUUUAUAAGAGAUCAUGUCCAAAAUGAUGAGAUUAUGGUUCAAUUUGUUGAUUCAAAGAACCAGCUGGCAGACAUAUUCACAAAACUAUUGGAGAAAAACUCAUUUGAGUCUAUUUGCAGUAAGCUGAAUAUUAUCUCUCUUAAAGUCUGAAGGUGAUCGGACUCAGAACUUCAACUUGAAGAAGCCAUUUCAAAAUGUACAUAUUCUCAAAUCCAAGUAUUUUAUUUUUAGAAUCUAAAUACUAAACAUGUAUGAUUUUAUCUUAAUCGAUGCUUGCCUAGUUUAUUUUUGGCAGUUAUUAUUUUUGCUAAAAUACGAUUUUGAAUUUUAGCAGUUACCAUUUUUAUUUUCAUUUUUGAACCGCAUUUUCUCUUGUGACGAUUCGGCUACCUCGUUUCGUCUUGGUUAAAUACCCCGAGAUUUUUCUUUUUCGAAGCACAGGCAUUUUCCAAACCCUAACGUCUUAUCUCUCUCUCUCUCUCCAUCGACUUUUCUUCUCAAAAUUUCUCUACAAGUUUCCAUAUUUUCUUCACUCGAACAUGUCUAUGAAAUCUUCCAAGAUUGCAUCCAUGUCACACCAAAGGAAAUCUUCUCGGAUCGCAAGUCAGGGGCCUCAGAACAUGCCAAAAGGACCGACACAUUUCGAUCUUACUAGUGACGACUCUCCUGAGGACUCUCCUCAUCGACCUUUGGAAUAAGAAGUUGAUCAAGAUGCGGUUCCGCUCAUAGUCUUGACACCCAGGUUCUUUACAAGCAUUACUAUUAUCUGAAACAAGGUGGUUCUCCAAUGUCCCUAAUUACUAAUUUCCUAAAAGGCCAUGGACAUGGGAACGAAAUGAUUUUCUUAAGAACUGUGGAAAGGAUAAGAGUGGCACCAAAGGGUUCAGCAUAAAGGCUUUUCUACAUUUUCCUUCUGAUCUUAGAUUUAGUUCUGUGAACCAGCCUGAAAAUAAGGUGAUGAUGAGCAGAUGUUUUCGAAUUUUCAACCCAGGAUAGGUGUAGUUGUUGACGUGCCUGGUGAAAGAACGAAACUGUUUCGUUCUAAGGAGCAUAAAAGGGUUUAUGCCCAGAUGUUGAACAGAGGGGUGAUAAACCCUCGAAUAGUAGAUUUUGACUCCUGGACUCGAUAAAAGUAAACUUCAGGGAAAAGUUGGCCAUCCUUCAAUUAGAAAAGUUUUAUGCUGAGACGGCUAUGGGUUAUCCAGAAUUGAUAGCAUACUUCUACUCAAAUCCGUCUUUCCUUGAUUAGUAUCGCAUUCAAUUUACUGUUUGUGAUAAAGCCUAUGUUGUGGAUGUUGACAUUCUGGCCAAUAUUUUGGAAGUAGAAAGAAGCAGUUUUCAACCAAUCAAUGUCUCCAUCGGUCAAACCACAAGAUUUUUGGUAAAGGAUAGACUGCCAAGUGGAGGUAUCACGUACUCUCGAUUGCUAGCCUCCAACAUUAUGUUGCACAAAAUCGUCAUCAACUACAUCAGACCAAAGGCAGCCUUCAAAACUUAUGUUUCCAGAUUUGAGGCAAGAAUCAUGUGAGCAAUUUGCAAUGGGAUUCGUUUCUCACUUCCUCAUACUAUCUUACUGUAUAUGUACAGGACUGUCAUGAAGGACAAAGGCCAAUUGCCUUACUCUGCCCUAGUUACAAAGUUGUUCCGUCAUUUUCAGAUCCAGUUUCCCCCUCAAUUAUGCUCAAGAAAUGUUGCUCCUAUGAAGAUAGGAUUGAAAAUGAUCUCCAAAAUGAGGCUGAAGGAUCUGACUAAGGCAAUUGAGUUUUUGAAGAAGGAAUCCUCAAGCAAAGUCAAGGAAGGAUCUACUACUCCAAGAAAGCGCAAAGGCAAGGAAGUUGUGCAAGAAAUAGGAAAGAAAAGGGGAUCUCUUAUCCUACAAGAUGAAAAUGAUGAAGAUGAUCUUACUAUUUUUGCCAUUGCCUUAAGAAAUCUUCAAGGCUUUGCUGCUUUUGAGAAAUCAAAGGAAAGAGAAGGAGGAGAUAGAGAAGAAGUAGAAGAAGAAUAAGCAGGAGCAGAAGUUGAAGGAGAUGAAGAUGAAGAAGAAGAAGGUGCUUCUGAAGAGAAGGGUGACUCUGAUGGAGAAACUGAUGCAAUAACAUUAUUAGAGGAUUCUAAAGCAACCGGGGAUGACCUUAAAGGAGUACGAACUGAGACAACACAUCACUCUCGCUCUAAAGCAACAAAGGUUCAAGAAGAAGAAAUUUCUUCUCCACCUAUAAGCAUAGAAAUAGGGGGAGCUCAUGAGAAAAUAGGGACUUCUUUUCCACCUCUUGCAAGUGAUGGUAUAAGCCGAUCUCCUGUAGACCCUAAAGAUGUUUUUGCAUCACAGUUUCCUGAAACUAAAGUUGAAGAGUCUACUCCAAGUCAAGGUGCAAAACAAACUGCCCACGAUCAAGUUGAUGUUUCCCCAUCUCUCCAUACUCCACAAACUCAAUUCACUGAAGCUAAUGCUCAUAUUAAACCAAAUGUAGGCUAUCCAAGGAUAGUAGAGCUCCUUUUGGAGGUUAAAGCUUAGCAAUAUGCAGUGGAGGUUGAGAUCCAAAAGCUGCACACUACCUUGCAAUCUACUUCAAAUUUUCUCAUUGGCAAGGUAGUUUCUAGACACUUAAGCUCAGACUUUUAAUCAACAAGUUUCACAGACUGUUGCCAAGGUUGAAGAUGUUUAGUGCCAGAAGCUUGAGGAGACAGUGCAGUCCAUGGGGGAUUUUCGACUCGUUCGAGUACCUAGACGACCCCGAUUCCAUUUAUCUUUUAAUCAUUUUUUUACUUUUUCUUUCUUUUUGUUGUUGACAAAAGGGGGAGAAUGAGCAAAUUUAAUUUGUUUGAACUUAAUUUGUUUUUGUUUGAACUAACUGUGUUGGAUAUGUGUUAGAUAUUUAUAUUAUGCAGUAACCUUUUGCGAUUGUGAUUAUGGAUUUGGUUUGAAUCUUCACUAAAUCAUCAAGAUUAAUGUGUUUUCUGUGGUUGCAGAAUCGAUGUUAUCCAGAUCUAUAACAACUUGUUUUUAUAAGUUAUCAUGUACUGUAGAUAUAAGUUUUUAAAUUUGCAGGAAAGUUUUGUCACCAUAAAAAAUGAGGAGAUUGUUGGAGAAAACUUCUAUGAUGUUUUGAAGCUGACAAAACUUAUCCAAGUUCUAUUAUGAAGAUUGUCAGACUUCUGUGUUAAAGUCUAUCUUACAUCAGAAGUUUGCCCACUCUGACAAGUUUCAGACUGAACGUAAAAAUGAAGACUUAAUCAGACUCAAAAUUAUUUGCUUCAAGGUAUCAGUGUGCACAAGAUACAUUAGGCUUUCUUGUUGGAGAUAUCACCUACCAUUUUGGUUAUCUUGAUUAGAAUCAAUUUUGAAGAAGCAAAUCAUUUUGAAAGGAAAACUUAUUUGGAAAGAAUUUACUUAUGGAAACAAAGAUUCUGAUUGUAUGGGCGAACAUAAUUGAUAUGUUUUCAUCUUAAUCUUCAAACGGCUCGAGAUAUUCUUGAUUAAUUCUGUCUAACGGAUUAAUUGGAAGAAUUCUUCUGGAAAGUGUCAACGGUCGAGAAGGUAUAAUUGAGUAUUUAAAGGGGAUUUUACAAGUCAUUCGAAGAGAAUGUAAAAGAAGAAUUCCAAAAUCUGAAGCUUUCAAAUCACUUUUCAUUCAUCACUUAGUGCUUAAACUUGUAUUUGAAAGUGAGAAACUCUAGAUAGUGAUCUUGUGAGAACAGUAGAGACUCCUCACUGAGAAGUUGAGAUCACAGAGUUGUAACAUUCUCUUUCGAUUCAUAAUGGAAACUAGUCAGAAGGUUGUCAACGUGGGUGGACAUAGGCUUGAUCUAAGCCGAACCACUAUAAAUCUUGUGUCUAUUUUUCUCUUCCCUAAACUACUUUACCUUAUUUGCUGCAAUAUACUUCUACGUUUUGAAAUAGUCGUUAAAGUCUGAAUUCUUUUGCAAAGUCCGUAGUCAACUAGACUCAGGUUAAAAGUAAAGUUUUUUUUUUUUUUUAAAGACUUGGGAACCACGGUAAAGCCAGCAGCCGGCAGCCGGCAACGUAAACCCAGGGCGACUCGCGGGGACCCACCUCCCAUGGACUGUAGUUUAGUCGCACAAGCGAAUGCGAUGAUUUGAACUCACUCCCUUCUGGUAGAGGGAUUGAACGCAAAUCACACGACCACCAAUGGGGUGGGUGGUUAAAAGUAAAGUUUUUCACUACAUUUUAGAAAAAAUUAUUUUCACACCUAUUCACCCCCUUUAAGUUUUCAUACUAGCCAUUUCAAGGUCGAGUUUGGAUAAGAUACGAGUUGGAUAUGGAUUACUAAAUUUACAUUAAAUAUAUAAAUGAAUUUAUUUGAUUGGACAAUAUCUUACCCACCCGUUAUACUAUUAAAUGAAAAUAUCGUUAAUUAAUCCAACCGGUUGGGAUCGGGCAAUUUUACCCGGCAAUAUAAAAAGAAUCUAAUUGUGCUCUUUUUUCGUUUUUUUUUUUUUUUUUUUUUUUGUAAAGUUUAAGUAGAAUUUCUUUUGGUUUUGAGUACAUUUCUGUUGCAUUUCACCUACCCUCUUCUGCAUCCAGAAAAGAGCUUGGCGAGUGGGUGGACGGACCAGCUGGGUGGCGCCUUCGUCCGGAUUCACCCAUAUUGCAAGAAAGUUGGCAGAUGGCGUUCGGCUUAAAAGCAAAUGCAAAUCAGUGUGAAUUCAUUUACCCAUCUGCAAAGGUCUUCUGUGGUGGGCCCGCACGUGUUUCCUGCGUCUUCGUUAAACAUCACUACAUGAUUAUAUAACAAAUGUAAAUAUGCGAACCCCUGGAAAAAGAAUAAAGCCGAAACAAGACAGGUCGGCUCUGAAAAGAUAAUUCGUGUUGCGUGUCGCGGUGCAUCGAACGUCGUUAUAUCCAUAGGAUUCUCUCUCUUCUUUUUACUUUUUUUGGGACUACAUGCUAAGAUUCGAGGGGCCAGUCCUCUUGAUCCGUUUCUUGUAUUCAUUUAUUAGCUUGGCCCAGACAUAAAUAUAUCCAUAAAAAAGCAAAUUCUAUUAGUGAGUGCCUCAACAAUACUUAUUCAUCACUAAUUAAAGAAAUUUUGUAGUAUAUUUUUCCUCAUAUUAUAUUUAAUCAGUGCUUUAGUAGCUUGACCAGAUAAAUCAUAAAAAGAGGAAAAUUUUAAUUUUCAAUUAGGAAAACAACUAAAUUGGUUGAGGAUAAAUUCAGGUCAAAAUCUGAAUCCAGAAAAAUCAAUGACAUAAUAUCAAUUAUUUAGUAAUUAGACUUCACCAAAAAAAAAAGUAUUUAGCAAAUAGAUAAUUAUCACUCAUCAAUGAGCUCACGUGACAGUGUUUUGUAGUUAGAAAGUUGUUCUAGUCAGUUCUUCAAUACAUAUAUGUUAAUGUAAAAUUCUAUUUGGUCGCUAUAGUUUUGAACUUUUGAUGGCUAAAUAUACAAAGCCUCUAAAACGAAUUAUACUUUUUAGUCCCAUGCUUCUAAACCGAAUCGAAAAGUUCAAUUGUUUUCGGUUUGGUUUGAAUAUUAUUAAAAAUUGAAACUUUUGUACCGAUUUAGUUUUUAUCGGUUCGAUAAUUGAAUCAAAUCAAUAAAAUCUAAAAUUUUACAUAUCUUUUUUCACUUCAUUUUCCUUCAUCAAAUACCUUUUCAUUUUUUCUUUUAAUUUUUUUUUAUAAAAACUGAUUUUUAAAUAUUAUUUUUUUCUUUUUUUUCAUUGGCUAGUAGCCGGACGUGGCCAGUCAAUUGAUUGGGAGAGAGAAGUGCGGCUCAGUCCAAAAUAAUUCGUCUGAUAUUUGGCCAUACGCGUCACAGCCUCAGCGCCAACAGAUGCGGGCCAAUAUUUUCUUGGGGGCUUCUAGUCCAACCACCCAAAAAAGAAAAAAGAAAAAGCAAAAGAAAAGAAGAAAAAGCAAAAGAAAGAAAGAAAAAGCAAAAGAAAAAAGCUCAUCUGCUCGGGCAAAUAAAAAGGCAUUUCAUAUUUUCCCGAAUCAUUUCGAUAUCCUUCUUGAGAGUCGGACUUUGGAAGAGAAAUUACGGGCAGAGUCGGUCAGGGCAAAGAAGAGAUGCAUCGUCUCGUUCUUGGCAACCCUUUCGUGGCGCUUGUCGCACCGAUCCUUCUCGUUGUGCUCGCGCACAAGCUUCGGAGUAAUAGGAGAGCAACUGCGCAAAGAAACAAGAAAGAUCUGCAUCCUGGUACGCCUAGUCCUCAGAUCCAGCCCAGCGGAAACGAUUUCGACGUGUUCUUGAGCUUUAGAGGUGUAGAUACUCGAAACGGCUUCGUCGACCACCUCUAUUGCGGCCUCGUCGGUGCUAGAAUCCGUGUCUUCAUGGAUGACAAUGAACUCCGCUUGGGCGAGGGAUUGAGCGAAGAGCUUAGGCAAGCCAUUAGUAACAGCAAUAUUUUGAUCCCUAUUAUCUCUGAGAAUUAUGCCUCUAGCAAAUGGUGCCUUCAAGAAUUGGUUUGCAUGAUGGAGUGCCG